CAACAGAUCAAACAUUGAGCUGGCCUUGCAUUACCAAUGGCACAUACACCAAGGCAGUUAUAUAGCUAAAACAGUUUAUUCAUAAGCUUUAGAGAUAUUGUACAGUACAUAAUAUUAAAGCAUCGGCAGACAUAAUGUAUAUAAACACGCUCACUCGAGUACCACACGACAAGAGUUUCACAUGGUUCAUCAAGUAGGAAAGGAGCAAUUAGUAAAUAUAACAACAUAGUAUCGGAAUAGAUCCAUUGUCACCGAACGAAUUUAUUCUUAAGACCGGACCACAAAUCAACAAACUUCUCAGAACAUCACCAUUACACCUGAUCUUCAUUCCUCAUCCGUGCGCACAGCUGCAACAUGAACAACCAAGUCAGUGUUCAAGAGAACAAUACAGCAUGAAGUAAAACCAAAGCAAGAAAGAGCCUCAUCUGAAUGCCCACCAGGAAGAAAGACAUUAAAUAUGCAAGUGCACAAAUCAUCACAGAAGCUGGGUAAGCAAAUUAUUCAGAACAGCGUAGAUGUUGGAUUCAACACUUCAUGCAAAUCACGCAAGAGAACAACCAUCACAGUCACUUAAGCAUUCCAAAACCCAACUACAUGUACUUCUGCAGUUCCUGACAGCGCCCCCGAGUUGCAAUUACAAUAUCGAUACUUAUAUGAAGCACAAAAUCAAUAUCGCUACAGAUCCCUACGAACCUAAUUCCGUUUCAAAGAAAAACUACAAACCUAAUUGCACCUAUCCAGCUGUUUUACUCAGUGUUCACAUGCAAUCAUGCAUGCGGCUGAAUAAACUCCCUCUGCUUUGGUACCAGCUCUGAGCAUACAAAUAGGGUAUGACAAAUCUUAAGAGGCAUUUUCAGAACUAUGUGGCAUGAAUGACGCUAAAAGUGAUAAACUACAUGUGCUAAUUAUUACCACACCAGCCCCAUCUAUUAGUAAACACACAUGCCUUUGCCUCGUGAGGUUUCUGUCAUUGGCAUGAGUUCGUGAAUGCUAAUGCGCACACAGCAGACACAUGGUGCCACGAAUUAAGCUCAUGGUAUUUUCCUUGCAUCAGGGGAAAAAAAUCGGUCACAAAAGCUUGCAGGGAUUAAUCAAUAACCAUGACUGCGUAGAAGUUCAGGAGGGAUUCCAACAGUUAAUCUUCAAAUACAGUCACCACUAUUGAGUUUCUCCUGGUUUUAAUGGAAUAAAUAUAUUUUUACCUGGUAACAUUAUGCAUAAAACAGAGACGAUAAGCACCAUCAUGCCCACCCAAUCCAGCCUAUGAAAGGUAACAUUCAGGAUAGUACCCUCACUAUUUAUUACCACUUCAUGCGUUCAUGGUUAUUCGUCUCUAUUUUCCAGGAGACAAGUAACACUAUGUUAGUGCUAAAACUGUUAAACAUAAUCUUACGAUUCUAGCAGCUCCAGGCUAUAGGAAGAAUUAAAAUUCCCAAUACACCGUCGUCCUUAGCAGAUGGCAAAAUAAUCUUGUACAGUAUGUAUGUUACACUGACAGCUAACUUUAAGAACAUCCCCUCCUCACACGCAUUUCUACCAACAGAAGAAAAAAAAAGCGACGCACACCAGAUCCGUGCCAUUUAACAGAUCGUAUUCAAUCCAGCAGAUCAACCUAGACAGGUAAACCGGUAGGGUAGACCUAGAAACAAGAUCCACAUCCAACAACACAAAGCCAGAUCCACGAACCCUAGAUUCAUUCCGUGACCAGGCAAAUCAAACCGGGUCAAGGACGCGAGACAAGGGCUUGAUCGGAUCGGGGAACUUACUGGGCUUCUGCUGCUUCUCGUCGGUCCACUUGGAGAGGGAGAAGUGGACCUUCUCGCGGGAGGAGAGCUCGGUCUUGAAGGGCUCCUUGAGGCAGCUCCGCACCAGCGCCGCGCAGACGUUGGAGUAGCCGAUGUAGGUCAUCCCCGCCGCACGCCAGAAGGGCACCGCCGCCGUCACCGCCGACAUCGUCGUCGCCUCCGCCUCCUCUGCUUCUUUUUUCUUCUCUUCUCUAGGGUAGAAUAGAAUGCUCUUCCUUCCCUCUCUGCUCGAGACGCCGCCGCCGCAGAUAGGGAUGGGGAAAUGGGCUUUGAGGCCCUUUUAUCUUCUCGCUGGGCCUCUUUGCUUCUGCCCAAACGGUCGGGACUCGGGAGCGAAGCCCACCCCGCAGACGGGAAACCUCCCGGUUCGAUUAGUCCCACAUCGCUCGCGGAGCACGGCGGGGCAGGGUCGGACGAGUAUAAAUGGAGGGGCGGGGGCACGGUUGUAAGUCAUACCUUUCUCGGCCUUUUGGCUAAGAUCAAGUGUAGUAUCUGUUCUUAUCAGUUUAAUAUCUGAUAUGUGGGCCAUGCGCCCACAACGAUAUUAAAUUUAUUUUUUAUGGGGGAGGAUCCACCACAGUGGCUUGCUGCUGGGCUCCUCACGCGUUCCCUGGACGUUGCACUGCUGUCCAGGUGUGGCGCACCCCAACCAAAUCUAAAUUAACUAUUUUGAUCGGGUUAAGUUGAGGUGGCUGAAGUAUUAAGGUUUUGAACACUGUUCUACCGGUUGAAUGCCCAUUGCAGCACUCAAGCUAAUGUUGUAUUUAAAAAAUAGGCGAAGCUUUCUUGAAAAAGUAUGGAUUAUUGUUUUGUUUUGUGAACAUAGUACAAGUAAGGAAUAGAUGCAUUAUCGUAUUUAUAUUUCUGAAUAAGUGUCAUUUAUUGCCUCUGACUGUUUCAUGAAAAAAUUGGACGGGACUGAAAUAUUCUGCUGGGCACUGGACAGCUUAGCCAUUUGUGGGUGUGUGAUUUGUCUCACGAUUUUAUAGACCUCUUUCGAAUAUCUUUCUGCCCAUGCAGGCAUUGCCGCAAAUCAUUAUCUUUGAUUUAUAAAAAAUUUAGCAACGGAUAUUCAGGAUUUCAACAAUAAGUAGUUUCUUUUUUCCAUUCGUUACUUAACCCCCUUCACGCACACUAUCGUGUAAGUGCGUUGUAUGCGACGACUCUCUCUACAUGUACGACGAUGAUCGUUCGAGUCAAUAAAUACCAAAUUUUAGUUUAGGCAAUGUACUUUUUUGGAUUCUUUUUAUUCUUAAUUACUUCCUUCGUCCCAAAAUUCUUGUUUUAGGUUUGUUUAGAAACGGAUGUAUCUACCUAAUAAUAAAGCGGCUAUUGCUUCCGUCGGAAAACCCACUACGGAAUUUUUGUAAUAAAGCCCGUGUAAUUUUUGUUAUUCAACCUGCGCUUCAUCAUUUACUGCAACGCAAAAGAAAAAAAUGAUUCGCUGCAAAAAUUAUACCCGUACGCAUCGCCUCCUCCAAUCGACCCUCGGCCACCCUGGCCUGUGCCGAGGCCGCCGCAACACCACUCACCGCUAUGGCCGACCUCAACCACCACCGCUGCCGAUCUCAACCCACCCGCCUCCGCGGGUGUACCUCUCCCCACUCACUGCCCCCGUUGCGGCGCUCGAGCGCAUCGCGUCGACCCUGGUCCACCCUGGCCAGUGCCCAGACCGCUGCCACACCACUCAUCGCCGCGGCCGACCUCAACCACCAGUGAUGUUGAUCUCAACCCACCCACCUCCACGGUCGUACCUCUGCCCGCUUGUUGCCCCCGUUUCGGCGCUCGAGCACAGCUUCUGGAUCAAAUCAACGCGACAACUACAUCGACUUGGGAUGAUGCGUCUGCUCGAUGCAGAACGGCGUCGGCGCGCGGAUAAGGCGCGACGGAGCGAAGUACUUGCAGGUGGAGGCGGGCCUCCAUGGCUCAUACGGGGAACUCCGAGGUUAUGGCGCGGCAACGACGACUCCUUAUGGCCACAUAGAGGCGCCUAACCCCUUGCUCCCCUCAUCGUAUCCCCUCCUCCGUUAGGAACUCAUCAUCUCGUGAGAUGCCCUCCCCAUGCCUCCAACCGUGUGCCAAGCACCGGCAAGAAAUUUUGUUUUGUGGGAAUUUGUUUUGCUGAUGAAUGAAUGUAUUGAAUGUAAGAUUGCAUUGUUGUAGAGAGAGAGAAUGGAACACCACCUUCAGUUUGUCAUCUGAUCCCACAUUCUCUACCCCAUGAGUGAAAUAAGAUAACAGUCCAUUAAUCAAUUCAGGUAGCCUCUUUGUUUUGCUUUGCUUGUCCCGCUCAAUUUCUCAUCAUGAUGGAAUUAACAAUGGACGGGUUGAUUUCUCAACAAAAUAGGAUAGGACUGACUACAUUAGUUAGUUAGCUUAUUAUUUUAAUAAAUCAACAUUAUUAUAAAAAGAUUAAAAGCUUGUGGUAUUUUUUUCUCCCGUUGCAACGCACGGGCCCUUUUGCUAGUUAUUAAAACGUGACUAGAUACAUUCAUAUUUAGACAAAUCUAAGACAAUAAUUUUGGGACGGAGGGAGUACGUACUUUCUAAACUUUAUUUUAUGGCGAAGCACGAACAAGGGCACGUGGCGCCGAGUUUCACGGGUAGAAGGGGAACUUUCGUGGACACCAAGACCUACCAUCGCCUGCCUCAUCUAGGGUUAGGGUUGGCUCCUGCGACAUGGGCGAUCCCCUGCCCUUGUCGUCGUCGCCGCCGGUGCUGCCUAAGGAUGGAAGCCUAUCGGUGUUGAGGGGGGCCUCCCCCCAACGCACGUCUCCGCUGUCUCCGUCGUCAAAGUGUCCUCUUCUACCCCGGACGAGAGGAGUCCGAAGCCUACACGAAGGAAGCCACGCGUUAAACCCUAUUUAUAGGUGCGGCCGGCAGAUCGACCAUAGACGUCCCCGACAACGCAACCCCGAGCCGCCUGACCCCGGCUCCGGAUCGCUUGCCUCGAUGUCGUCUUCAGCGUCGUUUCACGCUGGUGGUGGGGGUGAUCAUGGGGGGCCGGUGAGGUUCCUACCCACCCGAAGCCACCGCGCGAGGGGGGCAUAGUGACGUCGGGAGCUCGGAGGACUCACAAUCUCGGGCAACGUCAGGAAGAAGAGAACAUCAACUGGGAUGCUCGGAGGGCGGGUGGCGGCCUGACGGGGCCCGCUGAAGCACACCUCGGAGGUGAAGUGAUCAUGGACGAUGUGGCCUUUUGUCGUAGUUGAUCAGCGAAUAAAAGUAUACACUCAAGUAUGGAUCAUCAGUACUCUUUUAUGAUUCUUGAGUCCUUAGGGGUCCCGCACUAUUAAGAGGGGAUCACAGGUUUUGCGAUGAACUUGCUCAAAUUACAUCUUCACUUUGUGUUCAGACCACAUCUCCACUGCUCUGCUGUUAUGUGAAAACAGAACCAGUGCCUCGGACAUCCGGCCUCCUCCGGACGUCCGAGGACCGGACGCCCGACAGCUUCGGAAAUCCGGAAUCCUAUACCAGAGAAAUCAGAGCCAUAUAACUCAGACUUCCGGCUACCUCCGGGCGUCCGAGGCCCGGAUGUCCCGCCAAGUCCCGGAAAUCCGGAAGCCUGCACCAGUAGAAGUUGAGCUCUAUAUCUCGGAAAUCCGUCUCCCUCCGGACGUCCGAGCGCCGGACGUCCGACACCCGUCGGAAAUCCGGAACCUACCACCAGUAGAAAUUGUGUUGUAUAACACGGACUUCCGGGCCACUCCGGACGUCCGUAUGUUGAUGAAUUCAAAUAUGUUCACGCACAUCUACAGGCCUCGGACGACCGACCCCUGUCGGACGUCCGGCCGCUGAUGAAUUCAGAAGAGUUCCAGUCAUGCCUACAGGUCUCAGACGUCCGACCUCUGUCGGAUGUCCGGUCCCUCGCGGACGCCCGGACUUCCGACAACUGUCGGACGUCCGGACCCUGUGUGACUUAAAGUGUCCCCAACGGCUCUUUUUCUCUCCCCACUAUAAAUACCCCCCUCCCACUUCGUGAGAGGGUUGCCCAACACAGCCUUAUCCUCAUAAGAACACACUUCCACCUCACACACAUUUGCUCACUCCAAAUCUUAGAUCCCAAGAGCAUUUGUGAGCCCCUUUGAGAGUUGUUCCAAUCGAUAGAUCUUCUCCCUCUCCUUCUCUCAACCCAAACUAUUUGUGAUUUGAUCAAGUUUUGAGCAUUCCCCGUGAUCUUAUUACUCUUGGAGGUUGGAGACUCCUAGGCGGUAGGAGUUCUUCGAAGAGGAAUCAAUUCGUGUGAUUUCCCCCGGAAAAGUUUGUGAGGGUUUGGAAGCCACCUCAAAGGCUUACCACUAGUGGUUGAGAAACGCCUUCGUGGUGUUAUCUCAAAGGGAGAAUAGGGUGAGCCUUCGUGGCGUUGGUGUGCCUUCGUGGUAACAUCCACCUCUCUAACGAUGACUAGCUUCCCUCCAAGGAAGUGAACAUCGGGAUACAUCUUCGUCUCAGUGACCUUGGUUAUCCUUAACCCUAACUCCUUACUUGUGGUUUACUUGUGUUAUUUGAGCAUACAUACAUUGCAUAUUGCUUGUGCUCAUUAUAUUGUGUUGGCUAUUUCUUGUACAAGAUUAAUCAUUCAAGCAUACCCUCUAUAUCCACACGUACAUACUAUCAACCCUUGAUAUAUCGUUUGAUAUAGUGUGAUCUAAUAUCUUGUGUUAUUUACCUACUUGUCGUGUGAUAUAGCUCAAGUAAGUUUGUGUAACUUACUUGUGCUUGUUAGUAACUGCAUUGUGUCCAUCUUGGUAGAUCGUGUUGUUGAUACACGUUGCAGUGCCUAGUGCAUUUAGGAUUUGUGCUUGACAAGUACCCUCUUAGUUUAUUUUCGCAUUAGGUUCAAGCCAAAUCUGAAGAAGUUUUUAAAUAGCCUAUUCACCCCCCCUCUAGGCAUCAUCGAGGUCUUUUCAAUUGGUAUCAGAGCUAGGUCUCUCUUUAAUUAGGUUUCACGACCUUGAGAGUAUCGAUGUCGACUAUUGUAUUAGUGCACAAUGGCAUCUUUGACUUUGAUGGCACAAAUUAUACCCUAUGGAGAAUUUGUAUGCUUCAUCACUUUCGGGCCAUGGGCCCAAAUACUUUACGAAUUAUUCUUGAAGGGAUUGCCGACAAAAAGGAUGAUGCAUCUUCAUCUACUAAUGAAAUGUAUCUUGAUUGCGAGGCUUUUCUUGCCAUUCAUCGAACCAUAAGUCCUGAAGUGUUUAAGUCUAUCUCGACUUGCAAGUCAGCUCAUGAAGUUUGGACUAAACUUGAAGAUAUAUAUGGUGGGUCCAAUCUUGAUGAAGACGGUAUUAUGAUGAAGGAGUUGGUGCAUGAGCUCUUCACUCUUUUCGAUCCUAAAGAGUCCACCACUACUUCCAUAUCCGAUUGCUUGCACACCUCAGCAUCUUCAAUCUCACAAGGUAAUGACAUGGUGAGUGAAGAAAUAUAUGUUGAUGAAAAUGGCUUAGCCUCUAUGGACACGAGCAUAUCUAGCACCACACAUAGUGUAAAUUAUUGUGCUGAUAGGUCAUGCAUUCCACCUAAAGAUUCCUUGACAAAUGUCUGUGGUGAUAUGUCUGCUUCCUCGUGUCCUCUUGAUCAAAAUAUCUUGUUUCUCCCUAGUUGCUCUAUGACUAACCAUUUAGGGGAAUUCAAGAAAUAUGAAGUACUUUUGACUAAUGAAGAAUCUGAUUCACCAAAAGAAUCAUCAUCAAGUCCUCCUGUUCACAUGUACCUCAUGGCAAGAGGUAAUAAUGAGGUAUCAUCUUCCCUGUGCAAUAACGAUGAUAUUUGCGAUGAGGAUGGUGAUGAUGACUUGACUGAAAAUAUCUAUGUGAUCAGUAAAAUUCUUCAUAAAGCUAAAAAUAACUCUCUUCAAAGGUUCCAAGAUGUUCUUGCUUACUUUGAAAAUUGUAAUGAUUCACUUAAUCAUGAACAAGCUAAAAGUGAACAACUUGAACUUGAACUUGAGAAGAGUCAUCAAGCAUGUAGAGACUUAAGAACUUCAAAAGGAGAGAUUGAAGUUGCUCAUGAUAAACUUAAAAAGGAUUUUGAGGUCCUUCUCCUUGAAUGCAAUAAUGUCAAGGGAGAGCUCAUCAAAACCUCUAAGAUCUAUGAGGAGCUUCAAUCUACUCAUGAGAAGUCUCUAUUUGCUACUUACUUCUCUCAUAUUGUUGAUGAUACUUGUACAUCUAACUCUACCUCUUUUGAAGUAUCAACAUUGAAGGAGAAUGUUGAGCUACGUGCUCAACUUGAUUUACUAACUAGCAAUUAUGGGAAGUUGGAAGAAAACCAUGUAAUGCUCACAAGCUCUCAUGCCGAUCUUCUAACAUCCCAUAAUGUGCAAAAGUUAGCUCAUGAGGCUAUCAUCACCAAGGUAACAUCAAGCGAGCCUCAUGUGGACAAUGGCACUACUUCUGGUCAAAGUACUAUAUUUCCAUGUGCUAGUCCUCGUAAUUCGUCUACUCAUAAUGUUGCUACCUCGUGUGAUGAAUUACUUUCCUUGCCUUGUUGCUCUAACAUCGAAGCUUACACUUCCUCUAGUACUUGCAUUGAUACUAACCGUGCAGAGGAAAUCAAAGAGCUCAAGGCCCAAGUCACUUCUUUGAAGAAAGACUUGGAACAGUGUCAUGAAGAGAUGCCCACACUCAACAAUGUCCUGUGUGAGCAAACAUCUCCGAAUGACAAAAAUGAGUUUGGAGUAAACUCAAACAAGAACAAGAGGGGCCUAGAACAAGUCAAUAAUUCGGCCAAAAUCAUUUGCUUCAAGUGCAAAGUUAAAGGGCACCCUGUUAGAUCUUGCCCUCUGAAGACGAAGUCUCAAAGUCACAAGCAACAAGGGAAGCGGCCACAAACUCAAUCACAUAUUCAACUACAAGUUGAAGCAAGGCCUCUUCCCAAUAAGACCCAAACCAACACUCCCCGAGGUGAGAAAUCAACUGCGAAGAAAGAAAAGGGUAGAUGUUGCUACUUAUGUCGUGAGAAGGGUCACGUCGCUUCGUCUUGCACAAGAGGUAACUUAUCCAACCCAAUCACUAUUGAUGAUAUCUAUUCCCUUGGGAAGGAUAAGGUUGGCAAUGUGUUUGCCAAGUUUGUUGGUACUCAAAAUGGUGUCAAGAAAAGAACCAUUUGGUUUGCCAAGCCUAUUGUGAUUAACUUCUUAGGACCCAACGUAGUUGGGGACCAACAAGCUCAAACUUGAUCAAUAGGUGACUAUGGAGGACAUUAGAGACUUGGAUACAUAAUGAAGAAUUAAUGGGUCUUCAUCAUUCAUAUUAUCUCAAGCCAAGUCAUUUGGAUUAUCAAGUUUCUAUCUUAUAUCUAAUGUGCCUCCUUACGGUAACUUAUACUUAAACUGUUUACAUUGUUAGGUGCUUGCCCCCCUUUUGCAUGUUGUGGUUUUGUACCUUGCAUGUGUUUGUAUAUGUUGUGCUUCCAACUUGCUUAUCUUGAGUAAUCAAGUAUGUGUAUGUUGGUUUGCACAUCAUGUACAUGUGAGUCUUGUAUUGAGCCUAUUUGCAUCUUGUCUGUAUUUUUGUUGGCUCUUGUGAGAGAUUAAUGGAUUAUUCCAUUGUGGGGGAGUGAUGUGCUUUGCACACCUCACAAUCCUAUAAAUGUGUAUACAUGGGGAAUACCACUUAGUUUUGAUGCUUCAAGAUUAUCUAGUGUCUAUGUGGUAUGUCUUACUCAUGAGAAAUUCACAUUCUAUAUGGUCCAUUAAGUAUCUCUUGUUGGUUCUAAUUUGCCACUUGUCAAUGUUAUUGGUUUAUCACAUUGUGGGGGAGUAAUAUGCUAUGUGCAUAUUACAAACCUAGAAAAUGUGUACAUUUGACGUAUUGCCACUUAGUGUUGAUAUUGUAAAUUAUCUUGUUCCUAGGUGGCAUGUUAGCUCUACAAGUGACAUUUGCUUGCGUUUUAUGGGUAAAGAUGAUCUUGGAUAUAUUUGUGAUCUACCAAUGAGUAUCAUUUCAAAAAUACUUCUUGUCGUUGACAAUUGGUAUUCCCAUCAUGUGAUUGGAAUUGAUAAUCAUCUUUACAUUGGAUUUUGUGUUUCAUUUGUCUUUCUUGCCUCUUAUGAAUCUAUUUUUAACAUGUCUAGUGUGGUUAUAGAUAUAGAGAAAGUGAUGAUCCCAUCGUGUGAGUGUUGUAUUCAAAUGCAAAUUCUAUAUAAUGCACGUCCCUUGGGGGAGCUAUCCUAUUCUCUUUAAAACACUCUCUUUAUUCACCCAUCAUAAAAUCAUUUGAUCCCCAUCAAGUGUGUGUUGAUGGGAGGCAAGUCUUGCUCUUUAUGAUGCUUUGUGCCAUCAUGAAAAUUUGUAGAGGGCUUUGUUUGUUGGAACCUAGCUCUCUCUUGGAAACUAGAUACUUCGUGUUUGUUUUCCUUCAAUUGGUUUCUUGUUGCCUUCUAAUUGGCACGUGUCAAUGGAUAUCUCAUUCCUUGAUGUAUCUUUUUAAUUGAUAUCUUUCAAGUGAUAGUUCUUUUGUUUUAGGAUCUUAUUAUCACUUGAUACCUUGUCUUUUGGUGACUUAUCAACUUUGUGUUGAUUUGACUCUUAAGAGUCUUGAGCAUGCGUAUCAUAUCUACUUUAUACAACUUCUUUUGCUUGCUUUCCUUCUUUGACCCAAUAUAUAUGGGAAAUUCCACCUUGUCAUAAAUUGGCUAAAGUGUGCAUGAAAUUCAAAUUCAUAUCUAUAUGCACAUAUGUAUGUGGAGUUUGUCCUAUGUAUUGCUGGUUUUCUAACUCUUUGGUCCCAAUGAGUUUGGGCACCAUUUUGUUUGUUUUGUUGUUCCAGGAACAACUGGAGAUGCAUUGGAUGCUCGGCUCACCUAUAAGGAAGAUGUUGAGACCAUGUGAUUGUUGGAGCCAAGUUAGGAUGAUCAAGGAACAACCAUCUACUACAUCAAUCCAAUGUUGUCUCGGUAACAAGUAUCCACUUCAUGCAUUAUUUUCUUGCAAAGGACCCAACCUGUCUUUUCUUUUCCAGGUUGCAUCAUGGCAUGAAUCUCUUUAUUCGUUCAUGUAGUACUUGUUUGCUUUCUCAAAGCAUCCGAACGAUGAUGUCUUACUACUAGUUGGGAUGCCUUUGAUGUUUGUAUGUUGGAAGUUCAUAUUAUACAAUAAGAAAAUAUUUGGCCAUGUGCUAUGCUUCCAAGCAAAAGAUCUCAUUGAUAUAUUUAUGACUUCCUUUUGGAUAUCUAGUUUGUUCCUUCUUGUAACCAUUUCAUGUGUACAUCCUUCUUUGUGGAUAUAUAUCAUCAUGAUUGUCUUCUACUUAGAAUCUUUUACAGAUGAGAGAAGUUACAUCUCUAAUUGAUAUCCUCUUUUCCUUCACGUCCAUCGUUGCAUUUCCUCUUUCAAGUUUUUUUUAUGGCUUCGUGAAAGGAUUUGUUUUGAGUGCGCAUCUUAUUUCUACAUCUUGAUGCACUCUUUGGCAGUGAAGAUUAUUUUUCCUCAUGCUUGUCUUGAUGAGGGUUUUGCCAUUUCAACUAGUAUCCCUUCUAUUGACAAGGUUCUUACUUCCUAUCUUCACAAUGGGUUGUCACAAGCAUUGGUUCUUAUUUUGUUUAUUAGUAAGCUUGUGAACCCAUUUUCUAGUAUGUGUGUGUGGGAAUGAUAUGUCUUGCACUUUGUAUCUCAUAUUCAUCAAGACUAUGUUGAUGAGCAAUGCUCAUCCUUAUCUUAAGUCUUCUCAAGUGCUUUGCCAUGAUUCACACACAUUACUUUGGUUGAGCUUAUUCUUAAGUUGCUUCCUUUACAUGUUGCUCAACCAUUAGUUUUGUGCAAUUGAUAUGCCUAUUGUCUCAUCUAUCGUCUUGCACUCGUCGUGUGUGUCUAUUAAUUCUGGGGGAGCAACGAUCCUAUUUUGUGCACCUGUGUCAAAUACAAAAAUCUCAUAUUAGUGCACAAAUCAUGGGGAGCUUCUCUAGUUUUUGAUAAAGCACUGUGUUGCCUCUAUCAUAAUAUCUUUUAUUCAUGUGGUUCGAAGGACCAUAUGAUUGUUUGUUCCAUCUGGAAUUCUUUGAUUGCUUGCCUCCAUCUUUGUAUGUCUUUGUGGCAUACGAUCCUUUUUUCCUCCAACUACUUAUCAUUGUAUUUGUGUAUUUUUCUGCACUCAUUUGCUGAGAAGUACACACUUUUUUGGAGGACCACCUACUAUUUUGGCUUUCUAAACUUGUCGUCCAUUUUGGCAAUCGAUGCCAAUGGGGGAGAAGUUUAGAGAGUUUACUUUGGAUACGUCUAGAGGGUUUUGCUUUUAUUGCGUAAGCAUUUACAUCUUGCACACACGUACUAUUACCUUGUAUGUGUGCGCUUGGUUAUGCUUAUCUCCUUAUAUAAACUCUCUUGAAGUGGUUGUCUUCAAUUACCAAAAUGGGGGAGAUUGUUAGAGCAUAUAUCUCCAUAUGUGGUUUUGGUAAUUGAUGACAACUCCUAUGGACUAAUGGUUGCUUUAAGUUAUAUUUAUAGGACUUGUCCAUAGGCACUUCGUGAAGUCCAUCUGUUGGGUUCAAGGAGUUUAUAUGUUGACCAAGAUGUUAUUCAAGUUAUUAUCCAAAGAAUGGUCAUAGAAACACUAGGUUGAUCAAGAUCUCAGCCAAAGAGUAAAUCAAUAUGAUCAACACACAAAGCGUAUAAGAUGUACCGAGAGGGAUCAAGUGAUCUCAUAUCUCAGACAAAGAGUAAAUCAAGAUGAUCAACACACAAACCGUAUAAGAUGUACCGAGAGGGAUCAAGUGAUCCCAUGGUAUGGUAAGCAUUGUCCAUUACGUGUUUGUGUACUAACCCAUGGUCUUUAUGAGACUCCUAUGUGGGGGUUAGGUGUGCUUCCACUGGGCUUGCGUCAAAAGGAAGAUCUCAUACAACCCAUGAAGGAUGACGUCAAGUGGUGAUCGUCAUCAAGAUUGUGGUGUGCAAGUUCAAGCGGAUCAGCACGAAUAUAUCAUUGAAACUAUUGUCAAUGAUCAUGUGCUGACAAGGACAACCUCAUGUGCUAACAAGGACAAGAUCAAGAUAAGCAUUCCUGAGCACUACAUGCUUGAUUCUUGUGGAUGUUCACAUGAUGGACAGGACAAGAUCAAGAUAAGAAUUCUUGACAACUUCAUGCUUGAUUCUUGUGGAUGUUCACGUGGUGGACAAAUGAAGAUGAAUACAUAAGCUAGGCUUUCCGCAUUGUGUAUGGGAAAGCUACUUGAAGAGUUCAUCAUGUCUUGCUUUCAACUUGAGCCAAGAAGGAACAACAACAUCAAGCUCAAGUGAAAGGGCUAACUCAAAGGUAUCAGUUCCUUUGACGUUAGUUGUGCGGAGUGAUGAUCAGCGAAUAAAAGUAUACACUCAAGUAUGGAUCAUCAGUACUCUUUUAUGAUUCUUGAGUCCUUAGGGAUCCCACACUAUUAAGAGGGGAUCACAGGUUUUGCGAUGAACUUGCUCAAACUACAUCUUCACUUUGUGUUCAGACCACAUCUCCACUGCUCUGUUGUUAUCUAAAAACAAAACCAGUGCCUCGGACAUCCGGCCUCCUCCGGACGUCCGAGGACCGGACGCCCGACGGCUUCGGAAAUCCGGAAUCCUAUACCAGAGAAAUCAGAGCCAUAUAACUCGGACUUCCGGCUACCUCCGGACGUCCGAGGCCCGGAUGUCCGGCCAAGUCCCGGAAAUCCGGAAGCCUGCACCAGUAGAAGUUGAGUUCUAUAUCUCGGAAAUCCGGCUCCCUCCGGACAUCCGACACCCGUCGGAAAUCCGGAACCUACCACCAGUAGAAAUUGUGCUGUAUAACACGGACUUCCAGGCCACUCCGGACGUCCGUAUGCUGAUGAAUUCAAAUAUGUUCACGCACAUCUACAUGCCUCGGACGACCGACCCCUGUCGGACGUCCGGCCGCUGAUGAAUUCAGAAGAGUUCCAGUCAUGCCUACAGGUCUCAGACGUCCGACCUCUGUCGGACGUCCGGUCCCUCGCGGACGCCCGGACUUCCGACAACUGUCGGACGUCCGGACCCUAUGUGACUUAAAGUGUCCCCAACGGCUCUUUUUCUCUCCCCACUAUAAAUACCCCCUCCCACUUCGUGAGAGGGUUUCCCAACACAGCCUUAUCCUCAUAAGAACACACUUCCACCUCACACACAUUUGCUCACUCCAAAUCUUAGAUCCCAAGAGCAUUUGUGAGCCCCUUUGAGAGUUGUUCCAAUCAAAAGAUAGAUAUUCUCCCUCUCCUUCUCUCAACCCAAGCUAUUUGUGAUUUGAGCAAGUUUUGAGCAUUCCCCGUGAUCUUAUUACUCUUGGAGGUUGGAGACUCCUAGGCGGUAGGAGUUCUUCGGAGAGGAAUCAAUUCGUGUGAUUUCCCCCGGAAAAGUUUGUGAGGGUUUGGAAGCCACCUCAAAGGCUUACCACUAGUGGUUGAGAAACGCCUUCGUGGUGUUAUCUCAAAGGGAGAAUAUGGUGAGCCUUCGUGGCGUUGGUGUGCCUUCGUGGUAACAUCCACCUCUCUAACGGUGACUAGCUUCCCUCCAAGGAAGUGAACAUCGGGAUACAUCUUCGUCUCAGUGACCUUGGUUAUCCUUAACCCUAACUCCUUACUUGUGGUUUACUUGUGUUAUUUGAGCAUACAUACAUUGCAUAUUGCUUGUGCUCAUUAUAUUGUGUUGGCUAUUUCUUGUACAAGAUUAAUCAUUCAAGCAUACCCUCUAUAUCCACACGUACAUACUUGCAACCCUUGAUAUAUCGUGUGAUAUAGUGUGAUCUAGUAUCUUGUGUUAUUUACCUACUUGUCGUGUGAUAUAGCUCAAGUAAGUUUGUGUAACUUACUUGUGCUUGUUAGUAACUGCAUUGUGUCCAUCUUGGUAGAUCGUGUUGUUGAUACACGUUGCAGUGCCUAGUGCAUUUAGGAUUUGUGCUUGACAAGUACCCUCUUAGUUUAUUUCCGCAUUAGGUUCAAGCCAAAUCUGAAGAAGUUUUUAAAUAGCCUAUUCACCCCCCCCUCUAGGCGUCAUCGAGGUCUUUUUAGCAGUGGAUUUCGAGGAGGAGGAGGAAGAAGUAGAGGAAACAGAGAGAUGGAAGCUCCUAGGUUUGUACCGUGCGCAGAAGUGCCCUAGCGCAAAAACUCUGUCCAACCACUUCCAAAAAAUCUGGCAGCUGCGAACAGGUGUGGAGUUUCAACCUAUGGAGAGUAAUCACUUUGUGAUCAAGCUCUUCUCGGAAGGAGAUUUUAACUUUGUGGGCCGCGGAGGUCCAUGGAUAUAUGAUGGUAAUGCCUUGCUGGUAGCUUCGUUCGAUGGCGAUGCUCGCCCCUCUGAAUCAGUCCUUGACUCUGUCUCGGUGUGGGUGCGAGUGUUUGAUGUUCCAUGGAAAAGGCAGACUAGAGCUUAUGGGAGAGCCAUAGGUGGUACCUUAGGCGAAGUAAUGGCGGUGGACGCACCGGAAUCGGGGCAUGCAAUGAAUGAAUUCUUGCGCAUCAGAGUUAAACUACCCUAUAAUCAGAGAUUGCAGAAAGAGGUAAUAUUGGAGUACAAGGUGCAAGGGGCUGUGAAACGCUGCAUAUUCCAGCUCAAAUAUGAGCGGGUCCCACACUUUUGUUUUGAGUGCGGUUUUAUGGGGCAUGAUAAACUUGCUUGUGAGAAGAAGCUUCUGGGGCUCCCUUCGAAGGCAUAUGAUUCCACGCUACGCUGUUCCCCUUACAAAAAAUAUGAACACAUGACAACCUUUACCCCCUCGCCAGGACAGCCACGAGCACGAAGGGGGAUGAGCUUCUCCUUCGGAAGUGCUGGUUCUGCAAAUAACAUCGACCAGCUCAGAUCGAGUGGGAGUAGCAAACCGAAGGAGGAGGAUGGGAUCCCGCAGAGGGUGGAUGCCCAUGAUAAUUUUGAACAAGGGGAAAUACCAUGCUCAGACGCCGUUGAUCAAAAGCUGGCAAAAGAGGUGAACAAUAUAAAGUUGCAUCUAGUAUCGGAGGAACCGAAAUGCAGCAAGAUGCAGAAGCUGAAGGCUUGUUUCACAGCAAAAGCUCCUGUUAAUAGUGGUGUAGAUGGGAGUAAGCAGCGUAAGAAGAAAAGUGCGGUGCCAAAAAAGGGGACAGGGGGAAGAUGCUCGGGCAACCUGGUGAUUCGUGAUGAACCUCUUGGAUUAGAUGAGAUGAUUCCUGCUCUCCGUGGUCUGAGCUUGAUCAGCUCGUUUGGGACGGCAUCUCUAUCCUUGGAUUUGCAUGAUUUUGUCUUGGGCAAGCGUCAGGUGGAUGGAAUGCUAGGAUUCGAACUAGUGGUUGAUGCCACAAAUGCCAUGGUUCCCUAUGUCGCUGCUGAGCCGGGAGGGAUACAAAAGAAAGGGAAAGUGGAUAAGCUAACGGAGGCACACGGAUGUCUGAUGAGCAAAAUACUGGUGGGAGAUAGCGGGGGGUGUGCGGUGGAUAUGGAGGCAACCGGCCAUGGGGCCGCCGGUGAACUGACGGGGCCAUGUGUGGCGCCCCGUCAGGAGCAAUGAAUUGCAUUACAUGGAACUGUCGGGGAGCUGCCAACAAACCGACAGUUCGUGAAUUGACGGGCCUGGUGCAAAAGGCAAAGGCCCGGUUGGUGUUUCUGUGUGAGACCAGACAAAAAACAACAAAGAUGCAGCGUUUAUGUGGUCGACUGGGGCUUAGGGGUUUUGCUGGUUCUGAUAGUGAGGGACUUAGUGGUGGUCUGGCGCUCUUCUGGUGUGAAAAGCUUUGUGUGGAUGUUAAAGAAGUGAAUGAAAGAUUUAUUGAUGUUUAUAUUCGCUCUUCUUUGUCAGAAUCGGAAUGGAGACUUACGUGUGUGUAUGGGGAGCCGAGGGUGGAAAAUAUACACCAUAUGUGGACCUUGAUGCAGAACCUGAAAUUGAACUCGGAUUUGCCCUGGUGUGUCAUGGGUGAUUUUAACGAAGCAAUGUGGUCCUUUGAACACUUGUCCGUGUCCCCUCAUGGAGAUCAACAAAUGCUAGCUUUCCGGGAGGUUUGUGGUCUCCAAGACUUGGGGUUCUCCGGCCUGCCCUUCACAUAUGAUAAUAAGCGUGAAGGACGAAGGAACGUCAAGGUCCGCUUGGACAGGGUGGUUGCGGAUAACGCGUGGCGAGAUAUGUUCUCUGACGCGGCGGUCUCCCACUUGAUUAGUGCAUGUUCUGAUCACCUUCCUGUCCUUUUAUGCUGUGAAAAGGAACCUGACAAGAACUGGAGACCAGCCCAUAAGCAAUAUGAGAUAGCUUGAGAAAGAGAACCGAGUUUGCAAGAGAGAAUUGAUACAGGUUGGGCAGAGGCAGGCAGGAUGGCUCAUCUGGGGGAUGUUCGACAAGGUUUGUGCCAGCUUAUGAAUAAACUUCAAGUCUGGAGUAAGGAGAAAUUUUGCCAUGUAACCCAGGAGCUGGAAAAAAGUAGAUCAAGGCUGGAGGAGCUCCUUAAUAUGAAUGCUGGUAGAAAUGAGAUACGGAAAGUCACGGAUCAUAUGAAUGAGCUACUAUAUCGUGAGGAGCUCCUUUGGAUGCAGCGGUCCAUAGUGGAUUGGCUGCGGGAUGGUGACCAGAACACCAAGUUUUUCCACCGGAAAGCAGUCUGGCGUGCCUGCAAAAACCGUGUCAAAACCCUUAUGGACGAUCAAGGGGUCGAGCACAGCGAUCCGAAGGUUAUGGGCAGUAUGGUUAAUGCUUAUUUUCAGGAGCUAUUCACGGCGGAGGAACACCUCAUAACGGCACCUGUCAUAGACCUUCUCGAACCAAAAGUCUCGCAAGAUAUGAAUAAUAGUCUAUGCAAGGAGUUUACGAAGAAAGAAAUCUCGGAUAGCCUAUUCCAAAUUGGACCCCUUAAAGCUCCGGGAGUGGAUGGUUUUCCAGCAAGAUUCUUUCAGAAGAAUUGGGCUGUUAUGAAGGAGGACAUCAUUGUAGCGGUGAAACGUUUCUUCAGCACCGGGGUGAUGCCACAGGGUGUGAACGAGACGGCCAUUGUGCUUAUCCCCAAGGUAGACGACCCCAAUCGCCUUAAGGACUUCCGGCCCAUCAGCUUAUGUAACGUCGUGUACAAGAUCGUCGCAAAGUGCCUGGUUAAUCGGCUUCGCCCAGUCCUUGAUGAGAUUAUUUCACCAGCACAGUGCACAUUUGUCCCAGGCAGAAUGAUUACUGAUAAUGCAUUACUGGCUUUUGAGUGCCUACAUUUCAUGCACCAGGACAAAAACACGGAGGACAGUUUCUGUGCUUAUAAGCUGGAUCUCUCCAAGGCCUGUGACAGGGUUGAUUGGAGCUUUCUGCGACAAGUUAUGAAAAAGUUGGGUUUCUCUAAUCAAUGGAUACAAUGGAUCAUGGCUUGUAUUACGUCGGUGAAAUACUCUGUCAAAUUCAACGGCUCCAUGUUGAACUCGUUCACACCCUCGCGGGGGCUUCGACAAGGUGAUCCCCUGUCCCCCUUUCUAUUCCUGUUUGUCGCUGAUGGACUCUCCGCUCUACUUAGACAUGGAGUAGAAUCAAACAACCUUCAUCCAGUCAAAGUUUGCCGAAGGGCCCCAGGAGUCUCUCACCUCUUAUUUGCCGACGACACCCUCCUCUUCUUCAAGGCAAACCAAGCACAAGCCACGUUUGUAAAAGGUGUCAUCCAGAGCUAUGAGCAAGCUACGGGUCAGCUGAUUAAUACCCAGAAAUGCUCCAUUCAAUUUGGAGAGGCCUGCCCAGUAGUAAAACAAGAACAAGUGCGACAGAUCCUUGAUGUUCAAAUGGAAGAAUUUGAAGGAAAAUACCUGGGCCUUCCAACACCUGAUGGUAGGAUGCACCGGGGGAAGUUCCAAAAAUUGCAAGAAAGCCUCACACGACGUAUUCUGGAGUGGGGGGAUACUCUCUCUCAAGCAGGGAAGGAAACGAUGAUCAAGUCUGUUGCCCAGGGUAUUCCCACAUACAUUAUGGGGGUGUUCAAACUGCCUGCCUCUGUCUGCGAGGAUCUGUCUCGAUUAGUACGAAACUUUUGGUGGGGUGCUAAGGAGGGAAAGAGGAAAACACAUUGGAAGUCUUGGGAUAAAGUCUGCGAAUCAAAAAACAGAGGCAGACUAGGAUUCCGAGACUUCUGUUUGUUCAAUCAAGCUCUUCUUGCGCGACAGGCUUGGAGUCUACUAACCAGACCGGAGUCCCUGUGUGCACAGGUUAUCAAGGCAAAGUAUUACCCAAAUGGCGCCCUGGUGGACACGGUUUUCACUGGAAAUGCAUCACCAACAUGGCAAGCCAUCACCUAUGGGCUGGAUCUGCUCAAACGAGGUAUUAUCUGGCGAGUUGGAACCGGUGAGCAGAUCAGGAUUUGGAGGGAUCCAUGGAUUCCUAGACCACAUUCUUAUCGUCCUAUCUCAAUCAGAGGGAACUGCCGCCUUCGGAGGGUGUCUGAGCUCCUGGAUGAUCACGGACGCUAGCAUCUGGAAUCCCUGAACCGAUAUUUCUUACCAAUGGAUGUCCAGGACAUAAGUGAGAUCAGGACCUUCACAAAUCGGCUUGUCCAAGACGUCUUGGCGUGGGCGCCAGAUCCAAAAGGUGUCUUCUCAGUACGCUCGGCUUACCACCUCGCACAUGAGGAGAAACUUCGGGCAUCUAGGGAGGCGUCAAGUAGAGCACCAGAUGGUACUCGAGCUAUUUGGAAGGUGCUCUGGGGAUGCAUGGCCCCUCCAAAGGUGCGGGUGUUUGCCUGGAGGGUUGCAACAAACUCCCUUGCUACGGUUGCAAACCUGCUACGGCACAACAUGGGAGUGACAGAUACCUGUGUCAUUUGCGGUAAGGAGCGAGAAGACACCUUCCAUGCUCUAUGUACAUGCCCCUUGGAGCAAUGUUUAUGGAGAGACAUGGCGAAAUCCUAGAACAUGCCGAAGUUGGAAGAUAUACAGAACACAGGGACUGAGUGGCUGCUGCAUCUGCUGGACCAGUGUAAGCCUGAUCAACGCUACCUGUUCUAAUGACACUUUGGCGGAGUUGGCACGUCCACAAUGAACUUACUCAUGGCAAACAGGCACCGCCGACUGAAGCCUCCACGCGUUUCCUGUCCAGCUAUAUCCAAACGCUCCAGUGCAUAAAACAGUUUCCGAGGGGUGAUCUUGUCAAAGGAAAAAUGGUGCCCUCCCACCAGGGGAAGCUAAUAGCAAAUCAGAAGGAGGAGGUGCAACCAAAGGACCGGGUGCAACGGUGGACUAAGCCACCCCCUGGAUGGACCAAAUUAAACAUCGAUGGGGCCUUUUCUGAAGGUAACAAAAUUGGGGGUGCAGGAAUGAUCCUUCGGGACGAGGAAGGACAAGUCAUAUUCUCGUCUUGCCGCUAUCUCCGUACUUGCUCCCCGGCUCUCAAAGCGGAACUGGCGGCUUGUCUGGAGGGGAUCUUCAUAGCGCGCCCUGGAGUGAGCUGCCCAUGAUUGUUGAAUUGGAUUGCUCGUGCGCGGUCCAGAUGAUCGUCGAGGAAGGAAUUGAUAGAUCACCGCAUGCAAUCUUGGUGAUGCAGCUCAAACAAGCCCUUGGGGAGAUAGGAGAACAUGUGACAUCGCAUGUGGUUAGGAGUAGGAAUGCUCUAGCGGAUGCUCUUGCUCGGCUUGGACGUAUAAAUCAUCGUACGGCUGUAUGGCUACGUGGUAUACCUGAGGAGGUUGACACCUUAUGUAAGGAGGACUCGGUUGGUUAAUCAAUAUAUUUUUCAUUCGCAAAAAAAGGGCAUGUGGCGCCGUUGUUGCCACGAAGUAGACGGCUUCAACUGUGUACAAAGCAUCCAUCGUGGCUCGUCGUACUAAGAUUGCAACUGUGUUGUCAAGAUGAUUUGGGUUCGUCCAAUUCGGUUGUCGCAACGGAGAGUAUAAUUAGGCAACAUUCUUAUCGUUGUAUGACAUGGAGGACGUUGUGCACGCGUGCCUAAAUGAGCUUGCGACGGAUGCAUCUUCCUUUUCUUCCACAACGCUCGCGACGCAAAAAACACUCUAUCGAGCACCACGAUUUUAUCUCCACCCCUCCACUAAGGCAAUACAAUAGCCAUGGAGGUGGAUGAAUAUGCAUUCCUCUGCACCGACGACGGUGAGUUGUUCCACCUCAUAUGCGCGGGACAUGGCACACCGACACUGCGUUGUCCAUGUCUGGAGGAGGCAAGACGACCUCAUCGACGUAGCCAAGGGAACCUGCUCCAAUGACAAUCACCCACCAUAGUUGAGUCAAAGCACUACGAAUGUAAGACUCCAUAGCUAGUUUCCAUUUAGCAAAUGUGUUAGCUCUCAAAGGGGCCAAGCCCCAAAAUGAUUAAUGUGUGGGUGCGGAAUCGGUUGAGAUUCAACAACAUUGUACUUAGGAACGAGUGUGCAAGCGGGGGAUGCAAGGGGUUCUCUCGAGCCAUCCACGUCUUGAAGUACAUUUAGAUCAAAUGGACUAGUUGCGGACGAUGAAGCCUUUAUGUGUGCGUCCACUUUGUCCUUGACCGAGAAGUGAACUGCUUUCAACAUUACUGAUUUAAAAUCCACGAACAUUGAAAGGUUGGCUGCCGCAGUAAAGGUAGGAGCGAGACCAAUGUGGGAUGUGUCGGCGACAGGGGGGUUGUUGGACCCCUUCCACAAGGAGUGGCUCGCCACCCACAUCCUCAUGACCUUCCAUACCCUCUUUAGACGGUUAAGCCCAAUAAGAGAGUUGAGGCUCUUACAACAACUUAAAGAAUUGAUACGGUCGACUAGAGGGGGUGAACAGGAGACUACAAAUUUAAGCUUAGCUACAAAUUUUAGGGAUUCAUGAAUAAAUAGGUUCUCGAGAUACGCGUCCAGAUGAGCACAACUUAUAUGGCAAGCAAUAUAAGUUUCAAAUCACCCGCGGUUGGUCUUGAAGGCGACUAGCACGCCUUUACAUACGUCUAUGGAGCACACCACAAGGAAGGAACCUUUCGGAGGAACCUCAGCUGCGCAGGAGCCCAAGCUCCAAGAGUAACAAGUUGUUGGUGAGAAAAAUCUUGCAAGGAACACGAAUCAAUUUGGUCAAAGUUUAGAUUGGGCCUUGCUCACUCAAGACGAAGUCAUGUUUAAAACUCCACAGAAUUGAUAUGUGGACUAAAUGGAUAAAACGAGAGCCACAUACCAAAUUACACAAUUACUAUGCAUGCAAUUCUUUUAUAGGAGAAUUAAACCCAAUUCAAAUAUUUGAUGAUUUUAUUUAAAGCCCAAAAAUAAAUGCUUUAAGCCUAUAAAAUUAUUGGUUUGAAUUUUUGCUCUUGCCAAUAUUUUCAAGGUUUAACAAGAACAUUUUCUUGGGCUCAUUUGAAGAGAUUCUUAAUUUGAUAAUUUCAAAAAAUGAUUUCCAAGGCUUUGAGGAUUCCCUUAAUUCAAUUUUCAUUGAAAUAAAUAUGAUGCAUGAUUCUCUCUAGUAUAAUUAUUUUCAGGCAAGUAUUCUAGGGUUGUGACACUUGAACAGUUUUUCCACAACAUCUUUGUGAGUGAUAUCAUCGACACCUGUUGGCGUAAGCGCUCAACAAGACUGCUUUGGCGGUCGGUGAGUUCCACCACACUUUCUCUUCGAAGACUUCUCAAAUGAAUGUACUUUGCGAGAAGAUGUUUGCGAGAACAACAGAUUUGGCAGCGGAUUCAUCGUGAACAUUUUUUAUGGCAUCCCAGAUUUGUUUGGCUGUUUCAAGCCUCCGGAAUCGAAUAAAAAUAUUUUUGGAGAUGUUGUCGUAGAUGAUAUCCUUCGCUUGAGCAUCUAAGUGAAUGUUGGCUUCAUUUUCAUGAGUGGGUGUUUGUGGAUUUGGAAUAGUAUAUUUGUAUUCCACAAUCUUCCGUAACUUUAAUCUCAAGGCUUGAAGCUUGACUUUCAUUGUACUUUGCUAGUAUUGAUAAUCAUUUCCAUUGAAGGUAGGAAUUUCUUCACACUGUGUGGAUCUACGUGGAAGCGACAUACUCAAAACUCCAAGGCGACUUGACCUUUAAUAAACAGAGACAAGGAGACCUUGAUCUGAUACCAUUUGUUAGGACUAAGAGUAUACCAACCAGAGGGGGUGAAUGGGAGAUUCAAAUUUUCUUUUGAAACUUCGAAUCAAAACCACAUCAAACAACGGAAUAGAUAGAAUAGUGAAGGUAAAUGAUCAAAGCACAUACAAACAAUAAACUACAUGGGUAAAUCAAAGCUUUCGAUGAAGGAUGUGAUAAUCUUCUUUGCAUAAUAGUUCGAGGCUUACGCAAUGACAAUGGUGGCACAUAACGACAUCAAAACAGACAACUGGCUAGGAAGUCAUUGAAUGGAAGCAGAGCAGCCAGCUAUAUGAGACACAUAAUAUCGAGUAAAUGAUAGCACCUAAACUAAAGCGAGCACGAAUAGAAUUAUUAUAGAUACAUGAUCAUGGAUACCAUACAAAGUAUACAACACAGAAAUAAACUAGUGAACAAAUUGCAAUAGAAGAAGACUUGAAUCGGUGGUGCUCGAUGGCGGUAGAUGAUUUGGUAGACUAGUUCACUCUUUUGCAGAACAUCGACGUCUGAUUGGAGGUACUUGUGAUUGAACACGGGACUAGACCUCUCUCCAUUCUAUUUUCCUUCAAUUUAAAGUAGAUUAGACUUUGAUUGAAUUCACUCGGGGUAGAUACUUGUUAGUGAUGUCCAAACCUUUGACACAGUUCUUUGCAAAAUCACAAUUACUCUUGGUUGCUGAAGACUUUGCUUGGUGAAUACAAUUACUCUUCGACACUCAAGUCGACUCCAUCUAGAGAGUGUGGAGCUCUCAAGAGUAAUAGGUACAAGAAUUCUAACUCAGAUGCGUUAUGAUGCUCAACCACUAUCUAAGUUUUGGCUCUAGAUUUUCUAUCAAUUGAUUUUAAACUCAAUUCUCUCGAGAGGGUGAUCAAUAAACCUUCCCAAAAUCACAAGGAGUAACCAACAGACAACGUUGGUGCAGGGUGGCUAUUUACGGCGGCAUCCUUCCCAUGAGGGAAAUAACCAAACUGAACACGAAACCCCCAAUGGCCAACCAACACAUUUCCAAUGGUCAAAUUUUGAGAAUAACGGUAACUUUCCUUGCGGAGCAGGUAAAGCUAACUCCUCGGCCCGAUAGAUAUCUCUUGUGGCGAAGAAGAACUAUAUAUCUUGUUGAAAAGUAAUCAUUCGGAGCACAAAGAGAUUUCUCUCAGUCUUCCAUAGGUUUCGGCUAACCAUCAGAACUGACCUAAGCUUCGAGAACAUAUAACCCUCUUAAUAGUGUUAAUAGUACAAUGGUCAUGUUGGAUGUAAGCCCUAGAUGCAAUAAUAUUGUAUUAUUAUAUUUUUGUAUUCAUAACUGAGAGUUUAUAUUCUAUGUUAUAACUACUAUGAUAAUGGAAUAUGUGAUUCAGUGGAAAACUCAUAUGCGUGUGUGGAAUGAUAAACGGGAAAAUAAGAUCCCUAGUAUCACCUCUAAGACUGGCUCAAGUGUUGUUAGUGAUCAUGUUUUUCGGAUCUUAGGAUAACGUUAGGUGUAACAUUAGAAGAUCGACCAUAUUGAAUCGAGCGAUGACCUGUUUGUUAUACUUUGAGAUAAUGUCAUUUGAAAUCAAUUCUUAUAACACGGGAGUGUUAACACGUGUUUUAGUUCCUUAGACCAUGAAGUAUCGUAUUCACAUCUUAUUGUAUGGCGAACUUCGGGGUUGCUUAAACGUCAUUUGUAACUAGGUGAUCAUAACGACAACUCAUACGUCUCCAAUGUAUCUAUUUCUCCAAACACUUUUGCUCUUAUUUUUGGCCUCUAAUUUGCAUGAUUUGAAUUGAACUAACCUGGACUAACGCUAUUUUGAGGGAACUACCUUGGUGUUAUUUUUGUGCUGAAAUAAAAGUUCUCGAAAUCAGACGAAACUUUUUGUGAAUUAUUUUUUGGGAUUUAUAAGGAUUUACGAAGCAAAGACCUUCGGAGGUGAAGUGCGAGGGGGCCACAAGCCAUUAGGGCGCCCCCAUGCCGCGAGCUGAUGGCUUGUGGGGACCUCGAGGCUCCUCUGACACAAAUUCCAGUCCUAUAAAUUCAUAUUCUCCGAGAAAAAAAUAGGACGUUAAGACGACUUUCCUGAACGUUAAGACACAAGUGGUUAUUUUAGCCCUAGUAGUACUAGUUAUAUGCGUAGAUGAUAUAACUCGUUUAUCCCGCUCCUGUUUAUUUUAGCCCUAGUAGUACUAGCAAUAUGCGUAGAUGGUUUUGCUAUAUGCGUAAUAUUUGCUAGUCUUCUUCGUGAUCAGUAUGUCAUGAAUCUAGUCAAUGCCAUGUUAGUAAUUAUUUCAUGGAUUAAUCUACUCGGCAAAUUGCCUAUUUACUCAACAAUCCAAAAACCUAAUAUGUGUAGGAAUUUUCCGAGUAAUGGUUUUGCCGCUGCACUGAAACAUGAUAAGUUUACCGGUACUUAUUUCCCCACACGGUACUCAUUGGUUACCCCAAGUGGAAGGUUAAGAUGUAGUCAGUAGCAAGUUUUCCCUCACACGGCAACUGUAAGGUUUAUCGAACCAGGAGGACUCCUAGGCUCAACAAGUAGGUGUCUUCCACCCUAGUGCUAGCAGAAGACGUGGACCUGCACACACAACAAAUAACUUUGCUCUCAACGAGUACAGAGAGGUUGUCAAUCUCUCCGGUCUUGUAGUUUGCAAAGGAUCAAAACACAAGCGGGAAAGUAAUAGUGAUUGCAACAGAAAAGUAAAUGAAAGCAGUAAAUGAUGGAGGUGUAAACAAUGAUGGUGAUAUGGACCAGGGUCACAUGAUGUUCACCAGUGAUGUCUCUCUCCCAAAAGACGAUAAACAACUAUGCUUGGGUACACAAAUCACAGUUGGGCAAUUGACAAAAUUAUGAACGCACCUCAAUGCUAAUUAUGGUACUUGAUAGUUAGAGGUUCAAUAGUAAUGGACAGUACGCCAAGACAAGUAGACCAUUUAUUCAUCAGCAUCAACUUACUAAUCAUCCACCUUGAGAUAUCUAUCUAGAACAUCUUGUCGGUAUUAAGUUGCGAGCCCCACCCAAAGUGUAAACUCAAAGCAACGAACAACUGCAUUAACGAACUACGCGUAAGGUAAACAAUCCUUGCAACCGUGGUCACAAGCACCGUUGUUUUCUCCCUGGUGGCAACAACACAUCCCCUAGUCUCAUGUUUCUGUCACUCAAGCUAGACAUCGAGGGGCAUGAACCCACAAUCAUGCAUAACGCUCCCUCUUGGAGUUACAAUCUACUACUCAAGCAAAGCAAUAAAUAGCAACAGAGAACAUGCAUGGAUCACUAAGGAACAUAAUAUAAAAGGAUAAUCGAAUAUAUAACUCAUAACAAUAUGAACAUAAUCUCAUAAUCCAUCGGAUCCCAACAAAUCGAGCAUAGCAAUAGCAAGAGAAUUACAUAGAUGCCUUGAUCAUGUAGGACAGCUCACAAAGACUAACCAUUGAAGCAAAAGAUUGGAGAGAAGACAUCACAUAGCUACUGGUCAUGGACCCAUGGUCUAAGGAGGACUACUCAGGGCACGUCCGGGAAGCGUCCAUGGCGGUGGAGAAGCUUCCGGAGGUCAAUCCUCCCUCCGGCAGGGUACCAGGAAGAGGUCUCCCGACGCUCCCGAUCUCAAAAGCGUUGCGGCGGCAGAAUGAUGGAGAAAUUCGCAAUUCUGGAAGUUAUGGAAGGAUUUACUCUCAAGAGUCUAAAUAUAGGCCAAAGGAGGGCACCGAAGGAGGUGGGGCCCACCCAAGCGGCUUCUUGGCGCGACCAGGGGGUAGNNNNNNNNNNNNNNNNNNNNNNNNNNNNNNNNNNNNNNNNNNNNNNNNNNNNNNNNNNNNNNNNNNNNNNNNNNNNNNNNNNNNNNNNNNNNNNNNNNNNAUACAUCUUCGUCUCAGUGACCUUGGUUAUCCUUAACCCUAACUCCUUACUUGUGGUUUACUUGUGUUAUUUGAGCAUACAUACAUUGCAUAUUGCUUGUGCUCAUUAUAUUGUGUUGGCUAUUUCUUGUACAAGAUUAAUCAUUCAAGCAUACCCUCUAUAUCCACACGUUCAUACUUGCAGCCCUUGAUAUAUCGUGUGAUAUAGUGUGAUCUAGUAUCUUGUGUUGUUCACCUACUUGUCGUGUGAUAUAGCUCAAGUAAGUUUGUGUAACUUACUUGUGCUUGUUAGUAACUGUAUUGUGUCCAUCUUGGUAGAUCGUGUUGUUGAUACACGUUGCAGUGCCUAGUGCAUUUAGGAUUUGUGCUUGACAAGUACACUCUUAGUUUAUUUCCGCAUUAGUUUCAAGCCAAAUCCGAAUAAGUUUUUAAAUAGCCUAUUCACCCCCCUCUAGGCGUCAUCGAGGUCUUUUCAAUUGGUAUCAUAGCUAGGUCUCUCUUUAAUUAGGUUUAUCGACCUAGAGAGUAUCGAUGUCGACUAUUGGAUUAGUGCACAAUGGCAUCUUUGACUUUGAUGGCACAAAUUAUACCCUAUGGAGAAUUCGUAUGCUUCAUCACUUUCGGGCCAUGGGCCCAAAUACUUUACGAAUUGUUCUUGUAGGGAUUGCCGACAAAAAGGAUGAUGCAUCUUCAUCUACUAAUGAAAUGUAUCUUGAUUGUGAGGCCUUUCUUGCCAUUCAUCGAACCAUACGUCGUGAAGUGUUCAAGUCUAUCUCGACUUGCAAGUCAGCUCAUGAAGUUUGGACUAAACUUGAAGAUAUAUAUGGUGGGUCCAAUCUCUAUGAAGACGGUAUUAUGAUGAAGGAGUUGGUGCAUGAGCUCUUCACUCUUUUCGAUCUUAAAGAGUCCACCACUACUCCCAUAUCCGAUUGCUUGCACACCUCAGCAUCUUCAAUCUCACAAGGUAAUGACAUGGUGAGUGAAGAAAUAUAUGUUGAUGAAAAUGGCAUAGCCUCUAUGGACACGAGCAUAUCUAGCACCACACAUAGUGUAAAUUAUUGUGCUGAUAGGUCAUGCAUUCCACCUAAAGAUUCCUUGACAAAUGUCUGUGGUGAUAUGCCUGCUUCCUCGUAUCCUCUUGAUCAAAAUAUCUUGUUUCUCCCUAGUUGCUCUAUGACUAACCAUUUAGGGGAAAUCAAGAAAUAUGAAGUACUUUUGGCUAAUGAAGAAUCUGAUUCACCAAAAGAAUCAUCAUCAACUCCUCCAGUUCACAUGUGCCUCAUGGCAAGAGGUAAUGAUGAGGUAUCAUCUUCCCUGUGCAAUAACGAUGAUAUUUGCGAUGAGGAUGAUGAUGAUGACUUGACUGAAAAUAUCUAUGUGAUCAAUAAAAUUCUUCAUAAAGCUAAAAAUAACUCUCUUCAAAGGUUCCAAGAUGUUCUUGCUUACUUUGAAAACUGUAAUGAUUCACUUAAUCAUGAACAAGCUAAAAGUGAACAACUUGAACAUGAACUUGAGAAGAGUCAUCAAGCAUGUAGAGACUUAAGAUCUUCAAAAGGAGAGAUUGAAGUUGCUCAUGAUAAACUUAAAAGGGAUUUUGAGGUCCUUCUCCUUGAAUGCAAUAAUGUCAAGGGAGAGCUCAUCAAAACCUCUAAGAUCUAUGAGGAGCUUCAAUCUACUCAUGAGAAGUCUCUAUUUGCUACUUACUCCUCUCAUAUUGUUGAUGAUACUUGUACAUCUAACUCUACCUCUUUUGAAGUAUCAACAUUGAAGGAGAAUGUUGAGCUACGUGCUCAACUUGAUUUACUAACUAGCAAUUAUGGGAAGUUGGAAGAAAACCAUGUAAUGCUCACAAGCUCUCAUGUCGAUCUUCUAACAUCCUAUAAUGUGCAAAAGUUAGCUCAUGAGGCUAUCAUCACCAAGGUAACAUCAAGCGAGCCUCAUGUGGGCAAUGACACUACUUCUGGUCAAAGUACUAUAUUUCCAUGUGCUAGUCCUCGUAAUUCGUCUACUCAUAAUGUUGCUACCUCAUGUGAUGAAUUACUUUCCUUGCCUUGUUGCUCUAACAUUGAAGCCCACACUUCCUCUAGUACUUUCAUUGAUACUAACCGUGCAGAGGAAAUCAAAGAGCUCAAGGCCCAAGUCACUUCUUUGAAUAAAGACUUGGAACAGUGUCAUGAAGGGAUGCCCACACUCAACAACGUCCUGUGUGAGCAAACAUCUCCGAAUGACAAAAAUGAGUUUGGAGUAAACUCAAACAAGAACAAGAGGGGCCUAGAACAAGUCAAGAAUUCGGCCAAAAUCAUUUGCUUCAAGUGCAAAGUUAAAGGGCACCAUGUUAGAUCUUGCCCUCUGAAGACGAAGUCUCAAAGUCACAAGCAACAAGGGAAGCGGCCACAGACUCAAUCACAUAUUCAACUACAAGUUGAAGGAAGGCCUCUUCCAAUAAGACCCAAACCAACACUCCCCAAGGUGAGAAAUCAACUGGGAAGAAAGCAAAGGGUAGAUGUUGCUACUUAUGUCGUGAGAAAGGUCACGUUGCUUCGUCUUGCACAAGAGGUAACUUAUCCAACCCAAUCACUAUUGAUGAUAUCUAUUCCCUUGGGAAGGAUAAGGUUGGCAAUGUGUUUGCCAAGUUUGUUGGUACUCAAAAUGGUGUCAAGAAAAGAACCAUUUGGGUUGCCAAGCCUAUUGUGAUUAACCUCUUAGGACCCAACGUAGUUGGGGACCAACAAGCUCAAACUUGAUCAAUAGGUGACUAUGGAGGACAUUAGAGACUUGGAUACAUAAUGAAGAAUUAAGGGGUCUUCAUCAUUCAUAUUAUCUCAAGCCAAGUCAUUCAGAUUAUCGAGUUUCUAUCUUAUAUCCAAUGUGCCUCCUUACGGUAACUUAUACUUAAACUGUUUACAUUGUUAGGUGCUUGCCCCCUUUUGCAUGUUGUGGUUUUGUACCUUGCAUGCGUUUGUAUAUGUUGUGCUUUCAACUUGCUUAUCUUGAGUAAUCAAGUAUGUGUUGCUUUGCACAUCAUGUACAUGUGAGUCUUGUAUUGAGCCUAUUUGCAUCUUGUCUGUAUUUUUGUUGGCUCUUGUGAGAGAUUAAUGGAUUAUCCCAUUGUGGGGGAGUGAUGUGCUUUGCACACCUCUCAAUCCUAUAAAUGUGUAUACAUGGGGAAUACCACUUAGUUUUGAUAUUUCAAGAUUAUCUAGUUUCUAUGUGGUAUGUCUUACUCAUGAGAAAUUCAAAUUCCAUAUGGUCCAUUAAUUAUCUCUUGUUGGUUUCAAUUUGCCACUUGUUAAUAUUGUUGGUUAUCACAUUAUGGGGGAGUAAUAUGCUAUGUGCAUAUUACAAACCUAGAAAAUGUGUACAUUUGAGGUGUUGCCACUUAGUGUUGAUAUUGUAAAUUAUCCUGUUCCUAGGUGGCAUAUUAGCUCUACAAGUGUCAUUUGCUUGCGUUUUAUGGGUAAAGAUGAUCUUGGAUAUAUUUGUGAUCUACUAAUGAGUAUCAUUUCAAAAAUACUUCUUGUCCUUGACAAUUGGUAUUCCCAUCAUGUGAUUGGAAUUGAUAAUCAUCUUUACACUGUAUUUUGUGUUUCGUUUGUCUUUCUUGCCUCUUAUGAAUCUAUUUUUUAACAUGUCUAGUGUGGUUAUAGAUAUAGAGAAAGUGAUGAUCCCAUCGUGUGCGUUUUGUAUUCAAAUGCAAAUUCUAUAUAAUGCACGUCCCUUGGGGGAGCUAUCCUAUUCUCUUUAGAACACUCUCUUUAUUCACCCAUCAUAAAAUCAUUUGAUCCCCAUCAAGUGUGUGUUGAUGGGAGGCAAGUCUUGCUCUUUAUGAUGCUUUGUGCCAUCAUGAAAAAUUGUAGAGGGCUUUGUUUGUUGGAACCUAGCUCUCUCUUGGAAACUAGAUACCUCAUGUUUGUUUUCCUUCAAUUGGUUUCUUGUUGCCUUCUAAUUGGCAUGUGUCAAUGGAUAUAUCAUUCCUUGAGGUAUCUUUUAAUUGAUAUCCUUCAAGUGAUAGUUCUUUUUGUUUUAGGAUCUUAUUAUCACUUGAUACCUUGUCUUUUGGUGACUAAUCAACUUUGUGUUGAGUUGAUUCUUAAGAGUCUUGAGCAUGCGUAUCAUAUCUACUAUAUACAACUUCUUUUGCUUGCUUUCCUUCUUUGACCCAAUAUAUAGGGGGAAUUCCACCUUGUCAUAAAUUGGCUAAAGUGUGCAUGAAAUUCAAAUUCAUAUCUAUAUGCACAUAUGUAUGUGGAGUUUGUCCUAUGUAUUGCUGGUUUUCUAACUCUUUGGUCCCAAUGAGUUUGGGCACCAUUUUGUUUGCUUUGUUGUUCCAAGAACAACUGGAGAUGCAUUGGAUGCUCGGCUCACCUAUAAGGAAGCUGUUGAGACCAUGUGAUUAUUGGAGCCAAGUUAGGAUGAUCAAAGAACAACCAUCUACUACAUCAAUCCAAUGUUGUCUCGGUAACAAGUAUCCACUUCAUGCAUUCUUUUCUUGCAAAGGACCCAACCUGUCUUUUCUUUUCCAGGUUGCAUCAUGGCAUGAAUCUCUUGAUUUGUUCUGGUAGUACUUGUUUGCUUUCUCAAAGCAUCCGAACGAUGAUGUCUUACUGCUAGUUGGGAUGUCUUUGAUGUUCGUAUGUUGGAAGUUCAUAUUAUACAAUAAGAAAACAUUAGGCCAUGUGCUAUGCUUCCAAGCAAAAGAUCUCAUUGAUAUAUUUAUGACUUCCCUUUUUGGAUAUCUAGUGUUCUUCCUUCUUGUAACCAUUUCGUGUGUACAUCCUUCUUUGUGGAUAUAUAUAUCAUCAUGAUUGUCUUCUACUUAGAAUCUUGGUCACAUGAGAGAAGUUACAUCUCUAAUUGAUAUCCUCUUUUCUUUCACGUCCAUCGCUGCAUUUCCUUUUUCGUUUUUGGUGGCAACGUGAAAGGAUUUGUUUUGAGUGCGUAUCUUAUUUUCCUACAUCUUGGUGCACUCUUUGGCCGUGAAGAUUAUUUUUCCUCAUGCUUGUCUUGAUGAGGGUUUUGCCAUUUUCAAUUAGUAUCCCUCCUCUUGACAAGAUUCUUACUUCCUAUCUUCACAAUGGGUUGUCACAAGCGUUGGUUCCUAUUUUAUUUAUUAGUAAGCUUGUGAACCCAUUUUCUAGUAUGUGUGUGUGGUAAUGAUAUGUCUUGCACUUUGUAUCUCAUAUUCAUCAAGACUAUGUUGAUGAGCAAUGCUCAUCCUUAUCUUAAGUCUUCUCAAGUGCUUUGCCAUGACUCACACACAUUACUUUGGUUGAGCUUAUUCUUAAGUUGCUUCCUUUACAUGUUGCUCAACCAUUAGUUUUGUGCAAUUGAUAUGCCUAUUGUCUCAUCUAUCUUCUUGCACUCGUUGUGUGUUUCUAUUAAUUCUGGGGGAGCAACGAUCCUAUUUUGUGCACCUGUGUCAAAUACAAUAAUAUCAUAUUAGUAAACAAAUCAUGGGGAGCUUCUCUAGUUUUUGAUAAAGCACUAUGUUGCCUUUAUCAUAAUAUCUUUUAUUUAUGUGGUUCGAAGGACCAUAUGAUUGUUUGUUCCAUCUGUAAUCCUUUGAUUGCCUGCCUCUAUCUUUGUAUGUCUUUGUGGCAUAUGAUUCUUUUUGCAAUUUUUGGUCCUUAAUAUAGUUUGUUUUCCUCCAACUACUUAUCAUUGUAUUUGUAUAUUUUUCUGCACUCAUUUGCUGAGAAGUACACAUUUUUUGGAGGACCAACUACUGUAUUUGCCUUCUAAACUGUUCGUCCAUUUUGGCAAUUGAUGCCAAUGGGGGAGAAGUUUAGAGAGUUUAUUUUGGAUAUGUUUAGAGGGUUUUGCUUUUAUUGCGUAAGCAUUUACAUCUUGCUCACAUGCAUUCAGCAUUUACAUCUUGCUCACAUGCAUUAUUACCUUGUAUGUGUGCGCUUGGUUAUGCUUAUUUCCUUAUAUGAACUCUCUUGAAGUGGUUGUCUUCAAUUACCAAAAUGGGGGAGAUUGUUAGAGCAUAUAUCUCCAUAUGUGGUUUUGGUAAUUGAUGACAAUUCCUAUGGACUAAUGGUUGCCUUAAGUUAUAUUUAUAGGAUUUGUCCAUAGGCACUUCUUGAAGUCCAUCUGUUGGGUUCAAGGAGUUUAUAUGUUGACCAAGAUGUUAUUCAAGUUAUUAUCCAAAGAAUGGUCAUAGAAACACUAGGUUGAUCAAGAUCUCAGACAAAGAGUAAAUCAAGAUGAUCAACACACAAAGCGUAUAAGAUGUACCGAGAGGGAUAAGUGAUCCCAUGGUAUGGUAAGCAUUGUCCAUUACGUGUUUGUGUACUAAUCCAUGGUCUUUGUGAGACUCCUAUGUGGGGGUUAGGUGUGUUUCCAUUGGGCUUGCGUCAAAAGGAAAAUCUCAUACAACCCAUGAAGGAUGACGUCAAGUGGUGAUCGUCAUCAAGAUUGUGGUGUGCAAGUUCAAGUGGAUCAGUACGAAUAUAUCACUGAAACUAUUGUCAAUGAUCAUGUGCUAACAAGGACAAGAUCAAGAUAAGCAUUUCUGAGCACUACAUGCUUGAUUCUUGUGGAUGUUCACAUGGUGGAUAGGACAAGAUCAAGAUAAGCAUUCUUGAGCACUACAUGCUUGAUUCUUGUGGAUGUUCACACAUGGUGGACAAAUGAAGAUAAAUACAUAAGCUAGGCUUUCCGCAUUGUGUAUGGGAAAGCUACUUGAAGACUUCAUCAUGUCUUGCUUUCAACUAGAGCCAAGAAGGAACAACAACAUCAAGCUCAGGUGAAAGGGCUAACUCAAAGGUAUCAGUUCCUUUGACGUUAGUUGUGCGGAGUGAUGAUCAGCGAAUAAAAGUAUACACUCAAGCAUGGAUCAUCAGUACUCUUUUAUGAUUCUUGAGUCCUUAGGGAUCCCGCACUAUUAAGAGGGGAUCACAGGUUUUGCGAUGAACUUGCUCAAACUACAUCAUCACUUUCUGCUCAGACCACAUCUCCACUGUUUUGUUGUUAUCUCAAAACAGAACCAGUGCCUCAGACAUCCGGCUUUCUCCGGACGUCCGAGGACCGGACAACUGACUCGUUUGGAAAUCCGGAAUCCUAUACCACAGAAAUCAGAGCCAUAUAACUCGGACUUCCGGCUACCUCCGGACGUCCGAGGCCCGGAUGUCCGGCCAAGUCCCGGAAAUCCGGAAGCCUGCACCAGUAGAAGUUGAGUUCUAUAUCUCGGAAAUCCGGCUCCCUCCGGACGACCGAGCGCCGGACGUCCAACACCCGUCGGAAAUCCGGAACCUACCACCAGUAGAAGUUGAGCUGUAUAACACGGACUUUCGGGCCACUCCGGACGUCCGUAUGCUGAUGAAUUCAAAUAUGUUCAGGCACAUCUACAGGCCUCGGACGACCGACCCCUGUCGGACGUCCGGCCGCUGAUGAAUUUAGAAGAGUUCCAGUCAUGCCUAAAAGUCUCGGACGUCCGACCCCGGUCGGACGUCCGGCCCCUCACGGACGCCCGGACUUCCGACAACUGUCGGACGUCCGGACCCUGUGUGACUUAAAGUGUCCCCAACGGCUCUUUUUCUCCCCACACUAUAAAUACCCCCUCCCACUUCGUGAGAGGGUUGCCUAACACAGCCUUAUCCUCAUAAGAACACAUUUCCACCUCACACACAUUUGCUCACUCCAAAUCUUAGAUCCCAAGAGCAUUUGUGAGCCCCUUUGAGAGUUGUUCCAAUCAAAAGAUAGAUCUUCUCCCUCUCCUUCUCUCAACCCAAGCUAUUUGUGAUUUGAGCAAGUUUUGAGCAUUCCCCGUGAUCUUGUUACUCUUGGAGGUUGAAGACUCCUAGGCGGUAGGAGUUCUUCGGAGAGGAAUCAAUUGAUGUGAUUUCCCCCGGAAAAGUUUGUGAGGGUUUGGAAGCCACCUCAAAGGCUUACCACUAGUGAUUGAGAAACGCCUUCAUGGUGUUAUCUCAAAGGGAGAAUAGGGUGAGCCUUCGUGGCGUUGGUGUGCCUUCGUGGUAACAUCCACCUCUCUAACGAUGACUAGCUUCCCUCCAAGGAAGUGAACAUCGGGAUACAUCUUCGUCUCAGUGACCUUGGUUAUCCUUAACCCUAACUCCUUACUUGUGGUUUACUUGUGUUAUUUGAGCAUACAUACAUACAUUGCAUAUUGCUUGUGCUCAUUAUAUUGUGUUGGCUAUUUCUUGUACAAGAUUAAUCAUUCAAGCAUACCCUCUAUAUCCACACGUUCAUACUUGCAGCCCUUGAUAUAUCGUGUGAUAUAGUGUGAUCUAGUAUCUUGUGUUGUUCACCUACUUGUCGUGUGAUAUAGCUCAAGUAAGUUUGUGUAACUUACUUGUGCUUGUUAGUAACUGUAUUGUGUCCAUCUUGGUAGAUUGUGUUGUUGAUACACGUUGCAGUGCCUAGUGCAUUUAGGAUUUGUGCUUGACAAGUACACUCUUAGUUUAUUUCCGCAUUAGUUUCAAGCCAAAUCUGAAGAAGUUUCUAAAUAGCCUAUUCACCCCCCCUCUAGGCGUCAUCGAGGUCUUUUCACUAUCUUGCUAUUCUUUCCUCUUUUUUCUAUCCGGAGUGUUGAAGAUAUUUCAGAAGUCCUGAUUUUCGAUGCUUCAAUUAUUUCGAGGUUCUCAACCUCAUCUAGUUCUCUUCAUACCGGUGCAAUCUCUUUAUCUAUUCAAUUGUUUUCAACGGUGGUUUCUUUGAGUGGGCCCAUGGCCCACAAGUUUUUCCCAAGAUCUUAUCUUCCUCUUGUACUCUUUCCCGGAGAUCAUUAAUUCUUUUCGAUUACGACAUAAGUAUGAAUUUCAUCAGUCAUAUCCCUUCUUCAAGAUCAAUUUGAAUUAAUUCUCAUAUUUGGCUCAACCUUGCAUUCUUCUUUAUUUCGUAGUGUCUCAGACAUUCUUGGUGGUGUUCUUCUCGUCAUUCUCUCCAUUGGAGAUUGAAGGAGUGUUUAUCUCAUAUCUUGGUGCCAUCAUCUUAAUUGUUCCCAAUCAUGAGUGGUUCAUUUCUUGCUAUCCGGUGCAUCUCUGGAUUGUUUCAUUCUUGAUCCUCCGAAGGCCAUAAUUUUAGAAGAUUCUUCGUUCUCAGCUUUCAGCUUUCGUCCUCAAUUCUUCUCAAUUGUUGUCUCUUCGUUCAUCUCUCUAUUAUUCUGGUGCCUUGUUCAAGUUUUCUGUUAGGUGGCUCAUGAUCUCUUCAUUAUCUUGUAUCUCCAUUAAUUCGUGGUGUUCCCAUUCAAUUGUGAAUUCUUACCGGUGAUCCCUUCAAUUAUGCCUCAAGCGGUGCUUAUCUCUCUGUCUCUUCAAGAUUCUUUCAAUAGGAAUAAGUUGUGUGUUUAAUCCGUUGUUUGUCUUCAAUUUAAUUUGAUGAAGGAUGAGCAUACCAUAAUUCUUAUUCUUGUUGCAUCAAGUGAUCCCAAUUCUUCGUCCGGAGUGGCUCAUGAUAUCAAUUCCUAUUUCUCAAGUGUUUUUAUCUUUUCGUCUUCGGAGUUCCAAGUUUUCUCAAGUAUCUUUCCGUGAAGCUUCAUCGAAGUCUUUGCAAGGCUUCAAUCUUAUUCUUUCAUCCUUCAUAUCUUGCAUCAUCCAUUUGAUACGAGGCUCGUCAUGGUGGUUCUUCAAGGAUGUGAUUUUUUUCCUCAAAGUGUUCUUCAAGAUUCCUGUUGGAGUACCUUGAUACGUCCAUUUUGCAUCAUGUUUUCAUGUUGAUAUUUAUCGCUUCUUUGGCUGUUAUUUCACUUCACGGUACUAUUCUUAUGCCUUUUCUCUCUUAUUUUGCAAGGUUUACAUGAAGAGGGAGAAUACCGGUAACUGGAAUUCUGGCCUGAAAGUGGAGCAAAGUUGAGAUACCUAUUCUGCGCAACUCCAAACGCCGUGAAAAUCAACGGAGAUUUUUUUCCCAAUUUAUAAAAAAUACUGGGCCAAAGAAGUGCCAGAGGGGCGCCAGGGGGUGGCCACAAGCCUGCAUGAUGCGACCACCCCCCCAGGUCGCGCCAUGGGGGCUUGUGGGCACCCUGCUGGCCCACUGGCCCCCUCUUUUGCUAUAUGGAGGGUUUCGUGCAGGAAAAAAUCAGAAGGGGGCUUUUUCGUGGUUUCACCGCUGCCACGAGGCGGAACUUGAGCAGAACCAAUCUAGAGCUCCGGCAGGAUGAUCCUGCCGGGGAAACUUCCCUCCCGGAGGGGGAAAUCGUCGCCAUCGUCAUCACCAACACUCCUCUCAUCGGAGGGGACUCGUCACCAUCAACAUCUUCAUCAGCACCAUCUCAUCUCCAAACCCUAGUUCAUCUCUUGUAACCAAUCUCCAUCUUGCGACUCCGAUUGGUACUUGUAAGGUUGCUAGUAGUGUUGAUUACUCUUUGUAGUUGAUGCUAGUUGGAUUACUUGGUGGAAGAGUUUAUGUUCAGAUCCUUGAUUCUACUCAUUACACCUCUGAUCAUGAUUAUGAUUAUGCUUUGUGAGUAGUUACUUUUGUUCCUGGGGACAUGGGAUAAGUCAUGCUAAUAAUAGUCAUGUGAAUUUGGUAUUCGUUCGGUAUUUUGAUAUGUUGUAUGUUGUUUUUCCUCUAGUGGUGUUAUGUGAACGUCGACUACAUAACACUUCACCAUUAUUUGGGCCUAGAGGAAGGCAUUGGUAAGUAGUAAAUAGAUGAUGGGUUGCUAGAGUGACAGGAGCUUAAACCCUAGUUUAUGUGUUGCUUCGUAAGGGCCUGAUUUGGAUCCACUAGUUUAAUGCUAUGGUUAGACUUUGUCUUAAUUCUUCUUUCGUAGUUGCGGAUGCUUGCGAGAGGGGUUAAUCAUAAGUGGGAUGCUUGUCCAAGUAAGGGCAGUAUCCAAGCGCCGGUCCACCCACAUAUCAAACUAUCAAAGUAACGAACGUGAAUCAUACGAACAUGAUGAAACUAGCAUGACAGAAAUUCCCGUGUGUCCUCGGGAGCGUUUUUCCUCCUAUAAGACUUUGUACAGGCUUGUCCCUUGCUACAAAAGGGAUUGGGGCACUUUGCUGCACUGUUGCUACUUUUGUUACUUGUUGCUUGCUACGAAUCAUCUCACCACACAAUUACUUGCUACCGAUAAUUUCAGUGCUUGCAGAUAUUUCCUUGUUGAAAACCACUUGUCAGAUCCUUCUGCUCCUCGUUGGGUUCGACACUCUUACUUAUCAAAAGGACUACGACUGAUCCCCUAUACUUGUGGGUCAUCAAGACUCUUUUCUGGCACCGUUGCCGGGGAGUGAAGCGCCUUUGGUAAGUGGAACUUGGUAAGGAAACAUUCAUAUAGUGUGCUGAAAUUUAUUGUCACUUGUCACUAUGGAUACUAAUCCUUUGAGGGGCUUGUUCAGGGUAUCUUCACCUCAAACGGAAGCACAAAGAGUUGCUCCUCAACCUGCCGCACCUACUGAAAUUUUUUGCUUUGAAUUUCCUUUGGGUAUGCUUGAGAAACUGCUGGCUAAUCCUUUUACAGGAGAUGGAACAUCACAUCCAGACUUGCAUCUGAUCUAUGUGGAUGAAGUUUGUGGUUUAUUUAAGCUUGCAGGUGUGCCCGAGGAUGAGGUCAAGAAGAAGGUCUUUCCUUUAUCUUUGAAGGAUAAGGCGUUGACAUGGCAUAGGCUAUGUGAUGAUACUGGAUCACGGGACUACAAUUGGUUGAAAUUGGAAUUUCAUCAAAAGUUUUAUCCUAUGCAUUUAGUACAUCGUGAUCGGAAAUUAUAUUUAUAAUUUUUGGCCUCGUGACAGAGAAAGCAUCGCUCAAGCGUGGGGGAGGCUUAAAUCAAUGCUAUAUUCAUGCCCCAAUCAUGAGCUCUCGAGAGAAAUUAUCAUUCAGAACUUCUAUGCUCGACUUUCUCAUGAUGAUCGCAUCAUGCUUGACACUUCUUGUACCGGUUCUUUUAUGAAGAGAGAUAUUGACUUCAAACGGAAUUUAUUGGAGAGAAUUAAACGCAACUCUGAAGAUUGGGAGCUUGAAGAAGGUAAGGAGUCAGGUAUGAAUUUCACUUUUGAUUGCGUUAAAUCCUUUGUUGAGAUAAAUACUUUUUGUGACUUUAGCGCUAAGUAUGGACUUGACUCUGAGAUAGUAGCUUCAUUGUGUGAAUCCUUUGCUGCCCAUAUUGAUCUCCCCAAAGAGAAGUGGUUUAAAUAUCAUCCUCCGUUAGAAGUCAAUGUAGUUAAACCCACUCCAGUUGAAGAGAAAGUCAUUGCCUAUAAUGAUCCUGUGGUUCCCAGUGCUUACAUUGAGAAACCACCUUUCCCUGUUAGGAUAAAGGAUCAUUCUAAAGCUUCAACUGUCAUACGUAGAGGCUAUAUUAGAACACCUACACCCCCUGAGCAAAAUAGAGUUGAACCUAGCAUUGCUAUUAUCAAAGAUCUUCUGUCUAAAGAAGUUGAGGGACAUAAUAUUCACUUUUGUGAAGAUGCUGCUAUAAUUGCUAAACCUCACGUUAGAGACAAACAUAGGCCUGUUGUUGGCAUGCGUGUGGUUUCUGUUAAGAUAGGAGAUCAUUGUUAUCAUGGUUUAUGUGACUUGGGUGCUAGUGUUAGUGGAAUACCUCAAUCCUUAUACGAUGAAGUCAAAGAUGAGAUUGCACCUUUUGAGAUAGAACCCAUUGAUGUCACUAUUGACCUUGCCAAUAGAGAUACUAUGUGCCCUGUGGGAAUUGUUAGGGAUGUUGAAGUCUUGUGUGGUAAAACGAAGUAUCCUGCUGAUUUCCUCGUUCUUGCUACUGCACAAGAUAGCUUUUGUCCCAUCAUAUUUGGCAGACCUUUUCUCAAUACCGUCAAUGCUCAUAUUGACUAUGAGAAGCAAACUAUCACUGUUGGCUUUGAAGGUGUGUCACACGAGUUCAAUUUCUCUAAGUUUGGUAGACAACCUCAUGAAAAGGAGUUGCCUAGUAGGGAUGAAACUAUUGCCUUAGCUUCUAUUGCCGUGCCUCCUACUGAUCCCUUAGAGCAAUACUUGCUUGAGCAUGAAAAUGAUAUGCAUAUGGAUGAAAGGGAUGAGAUAGAUAGAGUUGUCUUAGAACAAUAUCAUAUCCUUAAGAAUAACUUGCAUGUUGAACUGCUUGGGGAUCCACCCCCACCAAAGGGUGAUCCUAUGUUCGAGCUUAAACAGUUGCCUGAUACUCUUAAGUAUGCCUAUCUUGAUGAAAAGGAGAUAUAUCCUAUUAUUAUUAGUGCUAGCCUCUCAGAGCAGGAAGAAAAGAAGUUACUAAAAACUCUGAGGAAGCACCGUGCUGCUAUAGGAUAUACUCUUGAUGAUCUUAAGGGCAUUAGUCCCACUCUAUGCCAGCACAAGAUCAAAACUGAUCCUGAAUUCAAACCAGUUGCUGAUCAUCAAAGGAGAUUGAAUCCUAAGAUGAAAGAAGUAGUGAGAAAAGAAAUACUAAAGCUCCUGGAAGUGGGUAUUAUCUAUAGCGUUGCUCACAACGAUUGGGUGAGUCCGGUGCAUUGCGUUCCUAAGAAGGGAUGCAUCACCGUUGUCCCUAAUGAUAAGGAUGAGUUGAUCCCACAAAGGAUUAUUACUGGCUAUAGGAUGGUGAUUGAUUUUAGGAAGUUGAGUAAGGCCACUAGGAAAGAUCAUUACCCUUUGUCUUUUAUCGACCAAAUGCUAGAAAGACUAUCCAAACACACACACUUCUGCUUUCUAGACGGUUAUUCUGGUUUCUCCCAAAUACCAGUUGCACAAUCUGAUCAGGAGAAAACCACUUUCACCUGCCCUUUUGGUACCUUUGCUUGUAGACGUAUGCCUUUUGGCUUGUGUAAUGCACCUGCCACCUUUGAAAGAUGUACGAUGGCUAUAUUCUCUGACUUUUGUGAAAAGAUUUUCGAGGUUUUCAUGGAUGACUUCUCCGUUUACGGGUCUUCCUUUGAUAAUUGCCUCAGCAACCUUGAUCGAGUCUUGCAGAGAUGUAAAGACACCAAUCUUGUCUUGAAUUGGGAGAAGUGCCACUUUAUGGUUAAUGAAGGCAUCGUCUUAGGACGUAAAAUUUCUGAAAGAGGUAUUGAACUUGGAGGUAAGUAUCGAUGAAUUAUUAUUGUUGACAUUACCCUUGAGGUAAGCAGUUGGGAGGCAAAACUAUAAGCCCCUAUCUUUCUUUGUGUCCAGCUGAAACUUUGAUCUCAUGAGUACCACGUGAGUUGUAGCAAUUGUAGAGAACGAAAGAAUGAUUGAGUAUGUGGAUUUGCUUUACAAGCUCUUAUUUGACUCUUUCUGAUGUUGUGAUAAAUUGCAAUUGCUUCAAUGACUAAAGGCUAUCGGUUGUUACUCCUCGGUAAGGUUCUUGAUCCAUGCUUUACUUUGUGAAGGAAUUAUCACUUCAACAUGAGAGUUUAUAUGUUGGUAUUGCUGUUCUGAUCUUGAUCAUGAUGCAUGCAUGUUUGUAUCUUGUUUUGUCGACACCUCUCUCCCUAAACAUGUGGACAUAUUUAUUGAGCUAGGCUUUCGCUUGAGGACAAGCGAGGUCUAAGCUUGGGGGAGUUGAUAAGUCCAUUUUGCAUCAUGUUUUCAUGUUGAUAUUUAUCGCUUCUUUGGCUGUCAUUUCACUUCACGAUACUAUUCUUAUGCCUUUUCUCUCUUAUUUUGCAAGGUUUACAUGAAGAGGGAGAAUACCGACAACUGGAAUUCUGGCCUGAAAGUGAAGCAAAGUUGAGAUACCUAUUCUGCGCAACUCCAAACGCCGUGAAAAUCAACGGAGAUUUUUUUCCCAAUUUAUAAAAAAUACUAGGCCGAAGAAGUGCCAGAGGGGCGCCAGGGGGUGUCCACAAGCCUGCACGGCGUGGCCACCCCCCAGGCCGCGCCAUGGGGGCUUGUGGGCACCCUGUUGGCCCACUAGGCCCCUUCUUUUGCUAUAUGGAGGGUUUCGUCCAGGAAAAAAAUCAGAAGGGAGCUUUUUCGUGGUUUCUCCGCCGCCACGAGGCGGAACUUGAGCAGAACCAAUCUAGAGCUCCGGCAGGACGAUCCUGCCGGGGAAACUUCCCUCCCGGAGGGGGAAAUCGUCGCCAUCGUCAUCACCAACACUCCUCUCAUCGGAGGGGACUCGUCACCAUCAACAUCUUCAUCAACACCAUCUCAUCUCCAAACCCUAGUUCAUCUUGUAACCAAUCUCCAUCUCGCGACUCCGAUUGGUACUUGUAAGGUUGCUAGUAGUGUUGAUUACUCUUUGUAGUUGAUGCUAGUUGGAUUACUUGGUGGAAGAGUUUAUGUUCAGAUCCUUGAUGCUACUCAUUACACCUCUGAUCAUGAUUAUGAUUAUGCUUUGUGAGUAGUUACUUUUGUUCCUGAGGACAUGGGAUAAGUCAUGCUAAUAAUAGUCAUGUGAAUUUGGUAUUCGUUCGGUAUUUUGAUAUGUUGUAUGUUGUUUUUCCUCUAGUGGUGUUAUGUGAACGUCGACUACAUAACACUUCACCAUUAUUUGGGCCUAGAGGAAGGCAUUGGGAAGUAGUAAAUAGAUGAUGGGUUGCUAGAGUGACAGAAGCUUAAACCCUAGUUUAUGCGUUGCUUCGUAAGGGGCUGAUUUGGAUCCACUAGUUUAAUGCUAUGGUUAGACUUUGUCUUAAUUCUUCUUUCGUUGUUGCGGAUGCUUGCGAGAGGGGUUAAUCAUAAGUGGGAUGCUUGUCCAAGUAAGGGCAGUAUCCAAGCGCCGGUCCACCCACAUAUCAAACUAUCAAAGUAACGAACGUGAAUCAUAUGAACAUGAUGAAACUAGCAUGACAGAAAUCCCUGUGUGUCCUCAGGAGCGUUUUUCCUCCUGUAAGACUUUGUACAGGCUUGUCCCUUGCUACAAAAGGGAUUGGGGCACUUUGCUGCACUGUUGCUACUUUUGUUACUUGUUGCUUGCUACGAAUCAUCUCACCACACGAUCACUUGUUACCGAUAAUUUCAGUGCUUGCAGAUAUUUCCUUGCUGAAAACCACUUGUCAGAUCCUUCUGCUCCUCAUUGGGUUGGACACUCUUACUUAUCGAAAGGACUACGAUUGAUCCCCUAUACUUGUGGGUCAUCAUAGCUCAAGUAUUCUUUCUCUUGCAUUUCCAAUGCGUUGUUCUCCUUUAUCCUUUGAGGUGGUAUUAUAGCAUUCUUGUUGGUGGAGGAGUCACGAAGAGAAGUUGUUUCAAAAAUUAAAUAUGUAAACCCACCAAUUCUUUGAUCAUGUGUUAUUUUUCAACCCGUGAUUUCUUCAUUGAGCUAUCUUGGUUUGGAUUUCACCUAAAGCUUUUCCUAAGGAUUGUUGCUAUUAUGGUGAUUAUCAUUGAUCCGAGUUCUCAAUGUAUGCUCUAGCUAAAAGAAGUUUUCCUUCUCUUGGUUCUCCCAAUCAAUCUUUGUUUCCGUUAGUGGCUGGUUGUCAACUCUUUGUUAGAGAUGGUUUUCAUAAGUCCACUACAAGCUUGCAUGCNNNNNNNNNNNNNNNNNNNNNNNNNNNNNNNNNNNNNNNNNNNNNNNNNNNNNNNNNNNNNNNNNNNNNNNNNNNNNNNNNNNNNNNNNNNNNNNNNNNNCUUUACACGUGGAACUGGAUUUAUGCACCGGGCUUUCCAGGGUAUGAUGCUAUUUAUGAUUCAGUGCUACAUAAUGGUUGAAGUCUGUAACUCACACAUGUUGUUUGUAGAUAAAUAGUAGGCUACAUAGUGAUGUCAUGAAUUCAUAGACUUAAGUGCAUAGGAAUGAUCAAAAUCAGAAUUUUCAUCUUCCCAGUGUAGAGGCAAUUUAUGUAAUCAUCUGUGCAGACUUUGCUGUUAGUGCUGUUAGUCCUUGAUUUUCAGUCAACUGCAUAAGUCAAAGGACCGCAGCCAGUUCUAAAAGUGUUAUUACCACCUUGUGCUGUUUACCUUAGCUAGAUGUCAACAAUAUUUUUGUUAUGGCAUAGCUUCAAAGACUUAGCCAUGGACAGGGGUGCGUGGAAGUUAGCUAUCCACGUUCCAGAGCCAUGACUUGGUUUCGAGAUCUUAUGGGUUUCAACUCUAGCCUACCCCAACUUGUUUGGGACUGAAAGGCUUGGUUGUUGUUGUUGCAUAGCUUCAAUUUUCAGGCUAUGGAUGUGCACACAGUUGCCACAGACCAUCAAAAUAAAAUUUAUGCUAUGUCACAAGAAGAUUAGUGUCUUGCUGCAUCAAAAUGCACGUAGUUUGUUUGCCUUGCAUGCCUAGCUAGAUUUCAGGAAUUCUUGACCUAUGAUUUCACAAUAAAUUUGUUAUUUAACUGAUGUUUUUUUAAUGCAGCAUAUGCUAAAUACAGAGGUCCACUGGGCACUGUUAGAAAAGGAGUUACUGGUAAAUCAAAUUUCAGCACCUUCAUAAUCUUAUAUUCUUACAUUACUCUUAUUUGCUUAUCUUAUACGUAAAUCAUAUUUUACAUUGCAAUAAGGUAUUAAUACUGAUGUUCAUUUUUAGCAAAGAAGCAUGCAUAUCUUAAUAUCUUAAUUAAAUAGAAACAGUACUUUGAACAGUACAUAUGUGCUGCUGAACUCUGCAAGUGGAAGUUGAUUUUUCUCCAUGUUCAUAUAUAGNNNNNNNNNNNNNNNNNNNNNNNNNNNNNNNNNNNNNNNNNNNNNNNNNNNNNNNNNNNNNNNNNNNNNNNNNNNNNNNNNNNNNNNNNNNNNNNNNNNNUAAUCGGAAAGAAGGGAGUACUGUGAUUUGUAGUCUACUCAUUUUGACCCAAAUAUAACAAAAGGAGACCCAUUUUGAUUUAUGUAUUUAUAUAUUCUAAUCCGCUACAUAUGACAAUGAAAUAAACAUCAACGACAAUUCAUAAGUGCACACUACACAUGUGUAUGUGUAUAUUAAUUUUCAGAAUUUUUGGAGGUAUAGCAAAAAAAUUWGAAAAAUAAAGGGCUCAGUGGAGCCCCUCCUCCAAAUCUCAUUUUCAGCAUAGAUUAUGGCCAUUUUGAAGCUCCCUUUUUCUUAGCAAUUUGUAAUUCAAAAUUUAGAAGCAUACAGCUAGUGCCCACUACUCCGUCACCUCAACUUACAAAGCAUAGUUCCACGAAACCACUCGCUCGCCCAUGACUUAUGGGGUCUGAAAGACUUGGGCUCCUUCCAAGGUCUAUCUUUUUGCCUGACUUGCUAUUCAAACCGGAUUUGGACUGCCGAUAAGCUCAAGAGGCACGGUUGGNNNNNNNNNNNNNNNNNNNNNNNNNNNNNNNNNNNNNNNNNNNNNNNNNNNNNNNNNNNNNNNNNNNNNNNNNNNNNNNNNNNNNNNNNNNNNNNNNNNNAAUGUGCUCGGAUCACUUCCGCAGCCUUUUUAAAAUAUAAACUGUUUUGGCAGUUUAAAACAUGUGGAUCUAUAAUAUACUCCCUUAGUCACAAAUUACUUGUCUUAUAUUUGUUCACAUAUGGAUGUAUUUAGACAUAUGUUAAUGUUAGAUACAUCCGUAGAUGUAUCUAGACAAACCCAAGACAAGUAAUUUGGAACAUCGAUAAUAUGCGUUGUACUUACUACAACCUCUAGGAGUAAUGACUUAAAAAAUAACUUAUACUUCAUUCGUUUCAAAAAGUUGUUUUAGAUUUGUCUAGAUAUGAAUGUAUUUAAUCAUGUUUUAGUAUUUAGAUACAUUCAUUUUUAGACAAAUUUAAAAUAAGAAUUUUAAGACGAAGGGAGUAUAAGUUGGGAGUAUUGUUCAGAUACACGAUGGAUCUACUUAACUGACCUAAAACGUCUUCCAUUUGUUGCAUCAAAAAWAUCUUGAUAACAAAUUAUAGGAUCACACUUUGAUUUUCCUUUUGUGAAACUUCGGUUUAUUUAUUUUAAAAAUUUUGAGAUCCGAUGGACAGGAGCCUAUGCGCCUAUCUAUACGGUCCUUUUGCCGUAGGUGCCAACAUGCCUCGGCAAAUUUAUGUGCUCCCUCGGUUCCUAAAUAUCAGUCUUUUUUAGAUGUNNNNNNNNNNNNNNNNNNNNNNNNNNNNNNNNNNNNNNNNNNNNNNNNNNNNNNNNNNNNNNNNNNNNNNNNNNNNNNNNNNNNNNNNNNNNNNNNNNNNUUGUGCGCAUACAUUUAUGGGCUAUGUUUGUCACGAUUAUGGUAUUUCAUUUUUGAAAAUCUUAUUGUUUAUUUCAAUAUGUUAGCUGGCCAUUUGUUUAGAGCAGAUUUAUAUAAAAUAAACCGUCAAUUUGGUGCAAUUUCAAAAAAAAGUAAGUCGAUUAAGUGCUAGGUGCGUUUUCUACACAACUGCCUGCCCACCAAGCGCGGUAUUAGGAGGAGAUGUAUCAGAAAUUUGUUUUGGAUUUCAGAAAGAAAAAGAAAUUUGAAGUACCUAAAAAUUCAAAAAUAUCAAAUACAUAUAGAUGUGUUCUACAUGUUUGUGAACACAUAUGAUGAAAUCCAUGUGAGCUAUAGGGAAAAACAAUUUAUGUGGAUUUUUAGAACAUGCACUACUUUAAUGGUUUUGUUGUUUUUGUAUACCUCAUAAGUUAAUGUAUUUCAUAAUGAAAUUUAUACAAAUGUGUAAUCAUGUUGAUUUUCUAAAGGAUACUUGAUAAUUCAAAAAAAAAUGGAACGGAGGCAAAAGAUUUGCCUUAUCCAUUAAUUAAGAAGUUAAGAGUUGCUUUUUUACGACCAAAAAGCAAUAGAAUUAUUACAAAGCCACUACUCGUGGCAUGAUGUUUCUCAAGUGCUUCGUGCCAGCGGUAAUUUAGAGUCGGACGGUAGUGUNNNNNNNNNNNNNNNNNNNNNNNNNNNNNNNNNNNNNNNNNNNNNNNNNNNNNNNNNNNNNNNNNNNNNNNNNNNNNNNNNNNNNNNNNNNNNNNNNNNNGUUAAUGUGGCAAACAUUUAUACAAAGAAAGAUGAAACCGCAUACAUAACAGCUUAAGUCAAGUAUCCAUGAAAAUAUGAUCUGGGCCAAARRAAAUCACAAGAUAUGUAGACAUCCAAAAUAUGACUGGGUAGAAAAGACUGAAAGUUGAUAUCAUACUGCAAAAGGUAGUGAAACAAAUUGAUACUCAUUCCUCAAUAACGAGGACUAAAUUCAUACACCAUCUUAGGAGACAUACUACGAGAGGAAAAACUAUCAACAUGGAAGCAUGGACAAUAAGCUAAAUGCCCCACUUCAACCACUACUCAGCAUUCCAUUAUUAAUGUUGAACCAUCCAAGAAUUAUUUGCUUGCUGAACAAAGUAAGGACGAAAAGAAUAAACAAGUACAUAUCAAGCACCUUUCAUAUUGAUGCCUCCAGCACAUUCAUUCUUAAAAGCAAGAAACAAUAGGGGAUGACCUUCUUGCAAUUUUACUAAGAAGGAAGGUAAAUGCGCGCAUCAAGAUUAUCAUGGUUGCUGCAGCAUGCGUAGGAUGNNNNNNNNNNNNNNNNNNNNNNNNNNNNNNNNNNNNNNNNNNNNNNNNNNNNNNNNNNNNNNNNNNNNNNNNNNNNNNNNNNNNNNNNNNNNNNNNNNNNUCGAUUAGUCCCACAUCGCUCGCGGAGCACGGCGGGGCAGGGUCGGACGAGUAUAAAUGGAGGGGCGGGGGCACGGUUGUAAGUCAUACCUUUCUCGGCCUUUUGGCUAAGAUCAAGUGUAGUAUCUGUUCUUAUCAGUUUAAUAUCUGAUAUGUGGGCCAUGCGCCCACAACGAUAUUAAAUUUAUUUUAUGGGGAGGAUCCACCACAGUGGCUUGCUGCUGGGCUCCUCACGCGUUCCCUGGACGUUGCACUGCUGUCCAGGUGUGGCGCACCCCAACCAAAUCUAAAUUAACUAUUUUGAUCGGGUUAAGUUGAGGUGGCUGAAGUAUUAAGGUUUUGAACACUGUUCUACCGGUUGAAUGCCCAUUGCAGCACUCAAGCUAAUGUUGUAUUUAAAAAUAGGCGAAGCUUUCUUGAAAAAGUAUGGAUUAUUGUUUUGUUUUGUGAACAUAGUACAAGUAAGGAAUAGAUGCAUUAUCGUAUUUAUAUUUCUGAAUAAGUGUCAUUUAUUGCCUCUGACUGUUUCAUGAAAAUUGGACGGGACUGAAAUAUUCUGCUGGGCACUGGACAGCUUAGCCAUUUGUGGGUGUGUGAUUUGUCUCACGAUUUUAUAGACCUCUUUCGAAUAUCUUUCUGCCCAUGCAGGCAUUGCCGCAAAAUCAUUAUCUUUGAUUUAUAAAAAUUUAGCAACGGAUAUUCAGGAUUUCAACAAUAAGUAGUUUCUUUUUCCAUUCGUUACUUAACCCCCUUCACGCACACUAUCGUGUAAGUGCGUUGUAUGCGACGACUCUCUCUACAUGUNNNNNNNNNNNNNNNNNNNNNNNNNNNNNNNNNNNNNNNNNNNNNNNNNNNNNNNNNNNNNNNNNNNNNNNNNNNNNNNNNNNNNNNNNNNNNNNNNNNNUAAAUUUUGAAUUACAAAUUGCUAAGAAAAAGGGAGCUUCAAAAUGGCCAUAAUCUAUGCUGAAAAUGAGAUUUGGAGGAGGGGCUCCACUGAGCCCUUUAUUUUUUCAAUUUUUUUUUGCUAUACCUCCAAAAAUUCUGAAAAUUAAUAUACACAUACACAUGUGUAGUGUGCACUUAUGAAUUGUCGUUGAUGUUUAUUUCAUUGUCAUAUGUAGCGGAUUAGAAUAUAUAAAUACAUAAAUCAAAAUGGGUCUCCUUUUGUUAUAUUUGGGUCAAAAUGAGUAGACUACAAAUCACAGUACUCCCUUCUUUCCGAUUAAUAGUUUCAUCUAAAAAAAUUAGUUUUUAUUAUACUAGGCUUAUUUUGAGUCUAAUUGAGUUAAACUGCUUUGAUUCGCACGUCAUAUUUAAUUCAUAGAGAUAAAAGAAAGAGAAUAUUUAAUUCAUAGAGAUAAAGARAAGGAUUAUUGGCUAUACAWUUUUUUCUACAUGCAUCAUGCAAGUUCAAUAAAAAGAAGAAUGCUACAUUUAUUGACUCAAAAUUUAAUAUAUGAGAAAUAUUUUAUUGACUAAUCAAAACUAGUGUCAUCCACUCACAAUUCAUCUUGAUUGAUGAGAUUUCAGAUUUAAAUCCUAUAAACCAAAAGAAGCAAAUAUUAUUUAAUACAAAAAGAUCUUAUGUGNNNNNNNNNNNNNNNNNNNNNNNNNNNNNNNNNNNNNNNNNNNNNNNNNNNNNNNNNNNNNNNNNNNNNNNNNNNNNNNNNNNNNNNNNNNNNNNNNNNNAGAUUGGAUUGGAUUUGUUUGCUGUAUUACAUACUAAAAUAUUCCCUGUUUAAUCUUCAUUUUGGGGGAAAAUAGAAGUAUGGCAUUUGGCCAGGUGAAAUGUUAUAAUUGGUUACACAACUGGAUGUCGCUGACAACCCAUUGCUCAAUUACAAAUCAUGGAUAGAUGGAAAAGGCUGACCUCCAGUACAUGAUGGAUGACGAAUUUGUUCUUGAAUCAUCAAACUUACCCAAAUGUAUUUUGCAGUUAGUCCUCUGAAUGUGCUUCUAAAUUGGUAGUUGAGAGUAAGGACCUAGUCUUCUACUAUCAUUAAAUAUAUUGGGGGGGGGGCGUAAAUCCAGGGUAUGGUGCUAGCCUCCUACUGUCCUUUUUCUUUUCUUUUUCCAGUAAUAUAAGUUUUUUUUGCAGUAUGCACCAUGAUAGAUUUAUUGUGAAGUUCCUUGGCAUUUGUUAAUGUUUGACAUCACAAACUUACACCAACGUAUUUCUGAAUUCUGAUUACGCCGUUUUAUGUCAUCAUAUGUGGAAUUUUAUGAGGACUUUGUCAUUGGUUAAAUGACAUAAGAUCCAAUAGCAUUUCUAUAGUCUAACUUUACAUGUUGCCGGUGCCAACUAGAAUGCACUCAUUGGAGCAUAAUCUGUCAAUUUGUUGGUGAUAUUUAAUGAAAAUCUGAACUUGGCUGACUUCGCUUGAUUUUUAAAUUUGCAGGUAACUGGANCGAAAAUUGGGAACCGUUUGAUGGCAGAGGCAGAAACAANNNNNNNNNNNNNNNNNNNNNNNNNNNNNNNNNNNNNNNNNNNNNNNNNNNNNNNNNNNNNNNNNNNNNNNNNNNNNNNNNNNNNNNNNNNNNNNNNNNNUGAUCUUCUUCAUGAUGUUUUUAUGUAUUGUACUGAUGUGACUUUGAUGUAGCUUGUGGCGAGUGUAAGCCAGUUCAAUAUAUCUUCUCUUUUCAGUACAUGUACUUGUAACGAUAUCCAUUCUUGCGAAACGACGAGAUGCGCUUCUAUCCCUGUCGAGGCCCUCGUGCCUAAAUAAGGAUAGGAUCGCAUCUUGGGCGUUACAAAUUCGCAUGAUUAAAAUCCUUAGGAGUUUUCCUUAAGAAAAUCCUUGGAUUUUUUCAAAAGAAAUCCUUAGAAAGACUUAUUUUUUAUGCUCUAUAUUUUGGAGAUGACUUCCAAACAUUUAAAGAAAUUGCACACAAAUUGUUUUUUGCUGGGAUGAAUAAAAUGGAUGCAAGCAGUGUGUCGUCUGUGUCUGAUGCUGCUGGAAGAAAAUCUACCGUGUGUUUGAAUAUUUUCAAAUAAGAGGUAGAAUGUCAUGACAUUUUCCACAUGGAUCUAACCUUUCCAAAAUUAAUCCAUCGACGCGCAUAAAACUGAAUCUGAAUCAUGCUAAAUCUAGGGUAUCACUUUAAUAAACUUUAACCUAUUCAUCUUCAUCAUGACAAUACAAUGAACAUAAAUAGNNNNNNNNNNNNNNNNNNNNNNNNNNNNNNNNNNNNNNNNNNNNNNNNNNNNNNNNNNNNNNNNNNNNNNNNNNNNNNNNNNNNNNNNNNNNNNNNNNNNCCCGUGUACCGAACCGUUGUGGAGGGCAGCGCACUCUAUAUAAGCCACCCUCCCCCACUGGUAAAGGGGUUAGCAACUUGUUGUAUUCCCUAUUCCACUCGACAAGAAGCUCCCUGAGCACUGAGACGUAAGGCUAUUACCUCCAUCGCAGAGGGGCCUGAACUCAUACAUCCUCGCCGUAGCUAGGACUCUGCCCAUCCUUUUCGUACCCUACACAUCUACUGUCAGGCUUAUACCCACGACAGUUGGCCCCCACCGUGGGGCAGGCGUCUAAGCGACUUCCGGCGAGUUUGCGACUACUUCCUUUCGUCAUGUCGUCCGGUGGAGGUUCGAGCAUGGGUCACCAGAUCUUCUUCGGUGCUCUCUCCUUCAUUGUCGACGAUUCGGCGUGGCUUCGGGAUGCUCCUCUCGACGUCGAGGCGCUUCCCCGUCGUGGGGCUACGCACUUCCGUGUCGGCGCCCGCGGCAUUCUUCUUCUCCAACAGUCGACUCCGAUGUCGACCUGCAGCGCCGUCACGCGCCGCAGCAAGCAGUCCCGCCGUCCGCGGCUCCAGCGUUGGGUGCAACACACCCCAGGCGCGCCAAAACGCGUCUUCACAAGUGGCGGUUCUAGAGUCCGUUGUGGUUGCCCCGCUGUCCCAGCACUCGGACNNNNNNNNNNNNNNNNNNNNNNNNNNNNNNNNNNNNNNNNNNNNNNNNNNNNNNNNNNNNNNNNNNNNNNNNNNNNNNNNNNNNNNNNNNNNNNNNNNNNGGAUCAUCACUUUCUCUAUAUCUAUAACCACACUAGACAUGUUAAAAAUAGAUUCAUAAGAGGCAAGAAAGACAAAUGAAACACAAAAUCCAAUGUAAAGAUGAUUAUCAAUUCCAAUCACAUGAUGGGAAUACCAAUUGUCAAGGACAAGAAGUAUUUUUGAAAUGAUACUCAUUAGUAGAUCACAAAUAUAUCCAAGAUCAUCUUUACCCAUAAAACGCAAGCAAAUGUCACUUGUAGAGCUAACAUGCCACCUAGGAACAAGAUAAUUUACAAUAUCAACACUAAGUGGCAACACCUCAAAUGUACACAUUUUCUAGGUUUGUAAUAUGCACAUAGCAUAUUACUCCCCCACAAUGUGAUAAACCAAUAACAUUGACAAGUGGCAAAUUAGAACCAACAAGAGAUACUUAAUGGACCAUAUAGAAUGUGAAUUUCUCAUGAGUAAGACAUACCACAUAGACACUAGAUAAUCUUGAAGCAUCAAAACUAAGUGGUAUUCCCCAUGUAUANNNNNNNNNNUAAUGUGAUAACCAACAAUAUUAACAAGUGGCAAAUUGAAACCAACAAGAGAUAAUUAAUGGACCAUAUGGAAUUUGAAUUUCUCAUGAGUAAGACAUACCACAUAGAAACUAGAUAAUCUUGAAAUAUCAAAACUAAGUGGUAUUCCCCAUGUAUACACAUUUAUAGGAUUGAGAGGUGUGCAAAGCACAUCACUCCCCCACAAUGGGAUAAUCCAUUAAUCUCUCACAAGAGCCAACAAAAAUACAGACAAGAUGCAAAUAGGCUCAAUACAAGACUCACAUGUACAUGAUGUGCAAAGCAACACAUACUUGAUUACUCAAGAUAAGCAAGUUGAAAGCACAACAUAUACAAACGCAUGCAAGGUACAAAACCACAACAUGCAAAAGGGGGCAAGCACCUAACAAUGUAAACAGUUUAAGUAUAAGUUACCGUANNNNNNNNNNCCAACAUACACAUACUUGAUUACUCAAGAUAAGCAAGUUGGAAGCACAACAUAUACAAACACAUGCAAGGUACAAAACCACAACAUGCAAAAGGGGGGCAAGCACCUAACAAUGUAAACAGUUUAAGUAUAAGUUACCGUAAGGAGGCACAUUAGAUAUAAGAUAGAAACUUGAUAAUCCAAAUGACUUGGCUUGAGAUAAUAUGAAUGAUGAAGACCCAUUAAUUCUUCAUUAUGUAUCCAAGUCUCUAAUGUCCUCCAUAGUCACCUAUUGAUCAAGUUUGAGCUUGUUGGUCCCCAACUACGUUGGGUCCUAAGAAGUUAAUCACAAUAGGCUUGGCAAACCAAAUGGUUCUUUUCUUGACACCAUUUUGAGUACCAACAAACUUGGCAAACACAUUGCCAACCUUAUCCUUCCCAAGGGAAUAGAUAUCAUCAAUAGUGAUUGGGUUGGAUAAGUUACCUCUUGUGCAAGACGAAGCAACGUGACCUUUCUCACGACAUAAGUAGCAACAUCUACCCUUUGCUUUCUUCCCAGUUGAUUUCUCACCUUGGGGAGUGUUGGUUUGGGUCUUAUUGGAAGAGGCCUUCCUUCAACUUGUAGUUGAAUAUGUGAUUGAGUCUGUGGCCGCUUCCCUUGUUGCUUGUGACUUUGAGACUUCGUCUUCAGANNNNNNNNNNGACGUGACCCUUCUCACGACAUAAGUAGCAACAUCUACCCUUUUCUUUCUUCGCAGUUGAUUUCUCACCUCGGGGAGUGUUGGUUUGGGUCUUAUUGGGAAGAGGCCUUGCUUCAACUUGUAGUUGAAUAUGUGAUUGAGUUUGUGGCCGCUUCCCUUGUUGCUUGUGACUUUGAGACUUCGUCUUCAGAGGGCAAGAUCUAACAUGGUGCCCUUUAACUUUGCACUUGAAGCAAAUGAUUUUGGCCGAAUUCUUGACUUGUUCUAGGCCCCUCUUGUUCUUGUUUGAGUUUACUCCAAACUCAUUUUUGUCAUUCGGAGAUGUUUGCUCACACAGGACAUUGUUGAGUGUGGGCAUCUCUUCAUGACACUGUUCCAAGUCUUUCUUCAAAGAAGUGACUUGGGCCUUGAGCUCUUUGAUUUCCUCUGCACGGUUAGUAUCAAUGAAAGUACUAGAGGAAGUGUGGGCUUCAAUGUUAGAGCAACAAGGCAAGGAAAGUAAUUCAUCACAUGAGGUAGCAACAUUAUGAGUAGACGAAUUACGAGGACUAGCACAUGGANNNNNNNNNNNNNNNNNNNNNNNNNNNNNNNNNNNNNNNNNNNNNNNNNNNNNNNNNNNNNNNNNNNNNNNNNNNNNNNNNNNNNNNNNNNNNNNNNNNNAAGAUCACGGGGAAUGCUCAAAACUUGCUCAAAUCACAAAUAGCUUGGGUUGAGAGAAGGAGAGGGAGAAUAUCUAUCUUUUGAUUGGAACAACUCUCAAAGGGGCUCACAAAUGCUCUUGGGAUCUAAGAUUUGGAGUGAGCAAAUGUGUGUGAGGUGGAAAUGUGUUCUUAUGAGGAUAAGGUUGUGUUAGGCAACCCUCUCACGAAGUGGGAGGGGGGUAUUUAUAGUGUGGAGAGAAAAAGAGCCGUUGGGGACACUUUAAGUCACACAGGGUCCGGACGUCCGACAGUUGUCGGAAGUCCGGGCGUCCGUGAGGGGCCGGACGUCCGACCGGGGUCGGACGUCCGAGACUUUUAGGCAUGACUGGAACUCUUCUAAAUUCAUCAGNNNNNNNNNNGGUUGUCGGAAGUUCGGGCGUCCGUGAGGGGCCGGACGUCCGACCGGGGUCAGACGUCCGAGACUUUUAGGCAUGACUGGAACUCUUCUAAAUUCAUCAGCGGCCGGACGUCCGACAGGGGUCGGUCGUCCGAGGCCUGUAGAUGUGCCUGAACAUAUUUGAAUUCAUCAGCAUACGGACGUCCGGAGUGGCCCGAAAGUCCGUGUUAUACAGCUCAACUUCUACUGGUGGUAGGUUCCGGAUUUCCGACGGGUGUUGGACGUCCGGCGCUCGGUCGUCCGGAGGGAGCCGGAUUUCCGAGAUAUAGAACUCAACUUCUACUGGNNNNNNNNNNGAAGUCCGUGUUAUACAGCUCAACUUCUACUGGUGGUAGGUUCUGGAUUUCCGACGGUUGUCGGACGUUCGGCGCUCGGUCGUCUGGAGGGAGCCGGAUUUCCGAGAUAUAGAACUCAACUUCUACUGGUGCANNNNNNNNNNGCCUCGGACGUCCGGAGGUAGCCGGAAGUCCGAGUUAUAUGGCUCUGAUUUCUGUGGUAUAGGAUUCCGGAUUUCCAAACGAGUCAGUUGUCCGGUCCUCGGACGUCCGGAGAAAGCCGGAUGUCUGAGGCACUGGUNNNNNNNNNNNNNNNUCGAACUAGUCAGUCGUCCGGUCCUCGGACGUCCGGAGAAAGCCGGAUGUCUGAGGCACUGGUUCUGUUUUCGGAUAACAACAAAACAGUGGAGAUGUGGUUUGAGCAGAAAGUGAUGAUGUAGUUUGAGCAAGUUCAUCGCAAAACCUGUGAUCCCCUCUUAAUAGUGCGGGAUCCCUAAGGACUCAAGAAUCAUAAAAGAGUACUGAUGAUCCAUGCUUGAGUGUAUACUUUUAUUCGCUGAUCAUCACUCCGCACAACUAACGUCAAAGGAACUGAUACCUUUGAGUUAGCCCUUUCACUUGAGCUUGAUGUUGUUGUUCCUUCUUGGCUCAAGUUGAAAGCAAGACAUGAUGAAGUCUUCAAGUAGCUUUCCCAUACACAAUGCGGAAAGCCUAGCNNNNNNNNNNNNNNNNNNNNNNNNNNNNNNNNNNNNNNNNNNNNNNNNNNNNNNNNNNNNNNNNNNNNNNNNNNNNNNNNNNNNNNNNNNNNNNNNNNNNCAUACAUACAUUGCAUAUUGCUUGUGCUCAUUAUAUUGUGUUGGCUAUUUCUUGUACAAGAUUAAUCAUUCAAGCAUACCCUCUAUAUCCACACGUACAUACUAUCAACCCUUGAUAUAUCGUUUGAUAUAGUGUGAUCUAAUAUCUUGUGUUAUUUACCUACUUGUCGUGUGAUAUAGCUCAAGUAAGUUUGUGUAACUUACUUNNNNNNNNNNUCAUACUUGCAGCCCUUGAUAUAUCGUGUGAUAUAGUGUGAUCUAGUAUCUUGUGUUGUUCACCUACUUGUCGUGUGAUAUAGCUCAAGUAAGUUUGUGUAACUUACUUGUGCUUGUUAGUAACUGCAUUGUGUCCAUCUUGGUAGAUCGUGUUGUUGAUACACGUUGCAGUGCCUAGUGCAUUUAGGAUUUGUGCUUGACAAGUACCCUCUUAGUUUAUUUUCGCAUUAGGUUCAAGCCAAAUCUGAAGAAGUUUUUAAAUAGCCUAUUCACCCCCCCUCUAGGCAUCAUCGAGGUCUUUUCAAUUGGUAUCAGAGCUAGGUCUCUCUUUAAUUAGGUUUCACGACCUUGAGAGUAUCGAUGUCGACUAUUGNNNNNNNNNNCGAAUAAGUUUUUAAAUAGCCUAUUCACCCCCCUCUAGGCGUCAUCGAGGUCUUUUCAAUUGGUAUCAUAGCUAGGUCUCUCUUUAAUUAGGUUUAUCGACCUAGAGAGUAUCGAUGUCGACUAUUGGAUUAGUGCACAAUGGCAUCUUUGACUUUGAUGGCACAAAUUAUACCCUAUGGAGAAUUCGUAUGCUUCAUCACUUUCGGGCCAUGGGCCCAAAUACUUUACGAAUUGUUCUUGUAGGGAUUGCCGACAAAAAGGAUGAUGCAUCUUCAUCUACUAAUGAAAUGUAUCUUGAUUGUGAGGCCUUUCUUGCCAUUCAUCGAACCAUACGUCGUGAAGUGUUCAAGUCUAUCUCGACUUGCAAGUCAGCUCAUGAAGUUUGGACUAAACUUNNNNNNNNNNAUUCUUGAAGGGAUUGCCGACAAAAAGGAUGAUGCAUCUUCAUCUACUAAUGAAAUGUAUCUUGAUUGCGAGGCUUUUCUUGCCAUUCAUCGAACCAUAAGUCCUGAAGUGUUUAAGUCUAUCUCGACUUGCAAGUCAGCUCAUGAAGUUUGGACUAAACUUNNNNNNNNNNNNNNNNNNNNNNNNNNNNNNNNNNNNNNNNNNNNNNNNNNNNNNNNNNNNNNNNNNNNNNNNNNNNNNNNNNNNNNNNNNNNNNNNNNNNGCACCAUCUCAUCUCCAAACCCUAGUUCAUCUCUUGUAACCAAUCUCCAUCUUGCGACUCCGAUUGGUACUUGUAAGGUUGCUAGUAGUGUUGAUUACUCUNNNNNNNNNNNNNNNNNNNNNNNNNNNNNNNNNNCUACUCAUUACACCUCUGAUCAUGAUUAUGAUUAUGCUUUGUGAGUAGUUACUUUUGUUCCUGGGGACAUGGGAUAAGUCAUGCUAAUAAUAGUCAUGUGAAUUUGGUAUUCGUUCGGUAUUUUGAUAUGUUGUAUGUUGUUUUUCCUCUAGUGGUGUUAUGUGAACGUCGACUACAUAACACUUCACCAUUAUUUGGGCCUAGAGGAAGGCAUUGGUAAGUAGUAAAUAGAUGAUGGGUUGCUAGAGUGACAGGAGCUUAAACCCUAGUUUAUGUGUUGCUUCGUAAGGGCCUGAUUUGGAUCCACUAGUUUAAUGCUAUGGUUAGACUUUGUCUUAAUUCUUCUUUCGUUGUUGCGGAUGCUUGCGAGAGGGGUUAAUCAUAAGUGGGAUGCUUGUCCAAGUAAGGGCAGUAUCCAAGCGCCGGUCCACCCACAUAUCAAACUAUCAAAGUAACGAACGUGAAUCAUAUGAACAUGAUGAAACUAGCAUGACAGAAAUCCCUGUGUGUCCUCAGGAGCGUUUUUCCUCCUGUAAGACUUUGUACAGGCUUGUCCCUUGCUACAAAAGGGAUUGGGGCACNNNNNNNNNNNNNNNNNNNNNNNNNNNNNNNNNNNNNNNNNNNNNNNNNNNNNNNNNNNNNNNNNNNNNNNNNNNNNNNNNNNNNNNNNNNNNNNNNNNNUUCACUUUGUGUUCAGACCACAUCUCCACUGCUCUGUUGUUAUCUAAAAACAAAACCAGUGCCUCGGACAUCCGGCCUCCUCCGGACGUCCGAGGACCGGANNNNNNNNNNAGACUUCCGGCUACCUCCGGGCGUCCGAGGCCCGGAUGUCCCGCCAAGUCCCGGAAAUCCGGAAGCCUGCACCAGUAGAAGUUGAGCUCUAUAUCUCGGAAAUCCGUCUCCCUCCGGACGUCCGAGCGCCGGACGUCCGACACCCGUCGGAAAUCCGGAACCUACCACCAGUAGAAAUUGUGUUGUAUAACACGGACUUCCGGGCCACUCCGGACGUCCGUAUGUUGAUGAAUUCAAAUAUGUUCACGCACAUCUACAGGCCUCGGACGACCGACCCCUGUCGGACGUCCGGCCGNNNNNNNNNNAUCCGACACCCGUCGGAAAUCCGGAACCUACCACCAGUAGAAAUUGUGCUGUAUAACACGGACUUCCAGGCCACUCCGGACGUCCGUAUGCUGAUGAAUUCAAAUAUGUUCACGCACAUCUACAUGCCUCGGACGACCGACCCCUGUCGGACGUCCGGCCGCUGAUGAAUUCAGAAGAGUUCCAGUCAUGCCUACAGGUCUCAGACGUCCGACCUCUGUCGGACGUCCGGUCCCUCGCGGACGCCCGGACUUCCGACAACUGUCGGACGUCCGGACCCUNNNNNNNNNNNNNNNNNNNNNNNNNNNNNNNNNNNNNNNNNNNNNNNNNNNNNNNNNNNNNNNNNNNNNNNNNNNNNNNNNNNNNNNNNNNNNNNNNNNNNNNNNNNNNNNNNNNNNNNNNNNNNNNNNNNNNUACCCCCUCCCACUUCGUGAGAGGGUUUCCCAACACAGCCUUAUCCUCAUAAGAACACACUUCCACCUCACACACAUUUGCUCACUCCAAAUCUUAGAUCCCAAGAGCAUUUGUGAGCCCCUUUGAGAGUUGUUCCAAUCGAUAGAUCUUCUCCCUCUCCUUCUCUCAACCCAAACUAUUUGUGAUUUGAUCAAGUUUUGAGCAUUCCCCGUGAUCUUAUUACUCUUGGAGGUUGGAGANNNNNNNNNNNNNNNNNNNNNNNNNNNNNNNNNNNNNNNNNNNNNNNNNNNNNNNNNNNNNNNNNNNNNNNNNNNNNNNNNNNNNNNNNNNNNNNNNNNNAGAUGUACCGAGAGGGAUAAGUGAUCCCAUGGUAUGGUAAGCAUUGUCAAUUACGUGUUUGUGUACUAACCCAUGGUCUUUGUGAGACUCCUAUGUGGGGGUUAGGUGUGUUUCCAUUNNNNNNNNNNGCGUAUAAGAUGUACCGAGAGGGAUAAGUGAUCCCAUGGUAUGGUAAGCAUUGUCCAUUACGUGUUUGUGUACUAAUCCAUGGUCUUUGUGAGACUCCUAUGUGGGGGUUAGGUGUGUUUCCAUUGGGCUUGCGUCAAAAGGAAAAUCUCAUACAACCCAUGAAGGAUGACGUCAAGUGGUGAUCGUCAUCAAGAUUGUGGUGUGCAAGUUCAAGUGGAUCAGCAUGAAUAUAUCAUUGAAACUAUUGUCAAUGAUCAUGUGCUAACAAGGGCAAGAUCAAGAUAAGCAUUCCUGAGCACUACAUGCUUGAUUCUUGUGGNNNNNNNNNNUACGAAUAUAUCACUGAAACUAUUGUCAAUGAUCAUGUGCUAACAAGGACAAGAUCAAGAUAAGCAUUUCUGAGCACUACAUGCUUGAUUCUUGUGGAUGUUCACAUGGUGGAUAGGACAAGAUCAAGAUAAGCAUUCUUGAGCACUACAUGCUUGAUUCUUGUGGAUGUUCACACAUGGUGGACAAAUGAAGAUAAAUACAUAAGCUAGGCUUUCCGCAUUGUGUAUGGGAAAGCUACUUGAANNNNNNNNNNUUUGUGGAUGUUCACACAUGGUGGACAAAUGAAGAUAAAUACAUAGGCUAGGCUUUCCGCAUUGUGUAUGGGAAAGCUACUUGAAGACUUCAUCNNNNNNNNNNNNNNNNNNNNNNNNNNNNNNNNNNNNNNNNNNNNNNNNNNNNNNNNNNNNNNNNNNNNNNNNNNNNNNNNNNNNNNNNNNNNNNNNNNNNCUAAAUAUAAGUCUUUUUAAAAAUUUCACUGAUAAACUACAUACAAAGCAAAAUGAAUGAAUAUAUACUUUAAAAUAUGUCUAUAUACAUCCGCAUGUAGUCUUUUGAUAAAACAUCUAAAAAAGACUGAUAUUUAGGAACCGAGGGAGCACAUAAAUUGCCGAGGCAUGUUGGCACCUACGGCAAAAGGACCGUAUAGAUAGGCGCAUAGGCUCCUGUCCAUCGGAUCUCAAAAUUUUUAAAAUAAAUAAACCGAAGUUUCACAAAAAGGAAAAUCAAAGUGUGAUCCUAUAAUUUGUUAUCAAGAUUUUUUUUGAUGCAACAAAUGGAAGACGUUUUAGGUCAGUUAAGUAGAUCCAUCGUGUAUCUGAACAAUACUCCCAACUUAUACUCCCUUCGUCUUAAAAUUCUUAUUUUAAAUUUGUCUAAAAAUGAAUGUAUCUAAAUACUAAAACAUGAUUAAAUACAUUCAUAUCUAGACAAAUCUAAAACAACUUUUUGAAACGAAUGAAGUAUAAGUUAUUUUUUUAAGUCAUUACUCCUAGAGGUUGUAGUAAGUACAACGCAUAUUAUCGAUGUUCCAAAUUACUUGUCUUGGGUUUGUCUAGAUACAUCUACGGAUGUAUCUAACAUUAACAUAUGUCUAAAUACAUCCAUAUGUGAACAAAUAUAAGACAAGUAAUUUGUGACUAAGGGAGUAUAUUAUAGAUCCACAUGUUUUAAACUGCCAAAACAGUUUAUAUUUUAAAAAGGCUGCGGAAGUGAUCCGAGCACAUUUAGUAAUAUUCGCCCUUAUCAUUCCUAUACAACAGAUCAAACAUUGAGCUGGCCUUGCAUUACCAAUGGCACAUACACCAAGGCAGUUAUAUAGCNNNNNNNNNNNNNNCAUAAGCUUUAGAGAUAUUGUACAGUACAUAAUAUUAAAGCAUCGGCAGACAUAAUGUAUAUAAACACGCUCACUCGAGUACCACACGACAAGAGUUUCACAUGGUUCAUCAAGUAGGAAAGGAGCAAUUAGUAAAUAUAACAACAUAGUAUCGGAAUAGAUCCAUUGUCACCGAACGAAUUUAUUCUUAAGACCGGACCACAAAUCAACAAACUUCUCAGAACAUCACCAUUACACCUGAUCUUCAUUCCUCAUCCGUGCGCACAGCUGCAACAUGAACAACCAAGUCAGUGUUCAAGAGAACAAUACAGCAUGAAGUAAAACCAAAGCAAGAAAGAGCCUCAUCUGAAUGCCCACCAGGAAGAAAGACAUUAAAUAUGCAAGUGCACAAAUCAUCACAGAAGCUGGGUAAGCAAAUUAUUCAGAACAGCGUAGAUGUUGGAUUCAACACUUCAUGCAAAUCACGCAAGAGAACAACCAUCACAGUCACUUAAGCAUUCCAAAACCCAACUACAUGUACUUCUGCAGUUCCUGACAGCGCCCCCGAGUUGCAAUUACAAUAUCGAUACUUAUAUGAAGCACAAAAUCAAUAUCGCUACAGAUCCCUACGAACCUAAUUCCGUUUCAAAGAAAAACUACAAACCUAAUUGCACCUAUCCAGCUGUUUUACUCAGUGUUCACAUGCAAUCAUGCAUGCGGCUGAAUAAACUCCCUCUGCUUUGGUACCAGCUCUGAGCAUACAAAUAGGGUAUGACAAAUCUUAAGAGGCAUUUUCAGAACUAUGUGGCAUGAAUGACGCUAAAAGUGAUAAACUACAUGUGCUAAUUAUU
rnacentral:lncRNA from 1 species